rnacentral:lncRNA from 1 species
UCACAAUCUUGUUGAUGAGAUCAGAGAAGUAGAUCAAUCUCGGUCUACCAAUGAAGAGUGGACAGCCAAGAUAAGUAAUAGGAGCCUCCUUUUGAUGAAAUCCCGUAUACCUUUUAAUUCUAUCACAUGUCGUUCUGAAGGCAUUAGGAUGGAGUAGAAAAUGACACUUAUCUUUGUUGAUCAGUUGAUCAGAAAUCCUUUCAUAUGUAGCCAAGGUCUUCAUGAUGAGCUUGAGAGAAUCCUUCCUCCCUGAAGUGAAAAUAAUGAUGUCAUCCGCAAAACUUAGAUGAUUAAUUUGAGGUCCUCUCAUCUCCAUAUAGAAGCCAUGAUACAAAGGAUGUUGGUGAAGUCUGUUCAGCGACCUAGUUAACAUUUCAGCACCUAAAAUAAAUAGGGCUGGGGAUAGUGGAUCGCCUUGUUUAAGGCCUCUAGUUGAAUGAAAGAAACCAUACCUUCUACCGUUAAGAAUGAUAGAAUAGCAAUUGUUGGCCAUAAUUCUCCAUAUCAUAUCGAUGAAAGUCUCUUCAAAACCCAUCUUUCUCAAGAUCAAACAAAUAUAUGACCAUGAAACCCUAUCGUAGGCUUUUGCCAUAUCAAGUUUGAUCACAACAUUGCUUCCAAUAAUAGGUUUCUUAAUCUGAUGGAUAAUUUCUUGCGCUAACAUAAUGUUCUCCGAUAUGCUUCUACCUUUUACGAAGCCUGAUUGAUUUGGAGAAAUCAGACUAGGUAAUAAAGGAGCUAAUCUGAGACAUGAUAGUUUAGAAAUAAUCUUGGUAAUGAAGUUACUUAAGCUUAUGGGCCUGAAUUCAUUGAGUCUGUUCGGGUUUUUCACUUUGGGGAGGAGAAUCAGACACGCAUGUGAAAAAUAUUUAGGGAUCAUCUGGCCACUGAAGAAAGCUUGAAUCACUGCCAUCAAGUCAUUGUUGAUAAUAUUCCAGCAUUUCUGGAAGAAAUACCCAUUCAUACCAUCCGGACCAGCAGCUGAGUUGGGAUUCAUGGAAUAGACUACUUCUUUAAGCUCAUCCAUGGAAGGGAUUUCUUUCAGUCUGUCAUUGUAUUCCUGACUGACUAUUCUUGGGAUACAAUCCAUAGGGUUUAGGGUUUAGGGUUUAGGGUUUAGGUUUAGGGUUUAGGAUUACAAGUUUAGGGUUUAGGAUUACGGGCUUAAGGUUAGGGUUUAGGGUUUAAGGUUUAGGGUUUAGGGUCAGGGUUUAGAGUUUUGGAAUCAAGGUUUAGGGUAUGGGGUUUAGGUUUAGGGAUUAAUGGUUUAGGGUUAGGGUUUAGGGUUUAGGGUGUAUGGUUUAGGGUGUAUGGUUUAGGGUUUACGAUUCAGGGUCUAGGGUUUAAGGUUUACAGUUAGGGUUUAGUGUUUGAGGUUUAAAUUUUAGGAUUUUAUAUUUAGGGUUUAGGGAUUAGGGUUUAGGUUUAGGGUUUAGGAUUACAGGUUUAGGGUUAGGGUUUAGGGUUUAGGGUUUAAAUUUUAGGAUUUUAUAUUUAGGGUUUAGGGAUUAGGGUUUAGGUUUAGGGUUUAGGAUUAUAGGCUUAGGGUUAGGGUUUAGGGUUCAGGGUUUAAGAUUUAGGGUCAGGGUUUAGGGUUUAGAGUUUUGGAAUCAAGGUUUAGGGUUUGGGGUUUUUUUUUUUUUUUUUUUUUUUUUAAUUUUAAUACCCUUGGAGGGGUAGGGGCUGAGCAACACCCCCAGGCCUUAGCAUUGAUUAAAAGACAAAAUACAUAGAGGGGGGCAUAAACCUGACCUCUGAUCCUAUGGUGGUUCAGUAGUCGACCUACCUAAUGUUAGUCAACUCUUCCCCUUACAAAGAAAGGUAAACCAAAAUACUAAGCAUCUAAGAGAGGACUCCUCUCUUUACAAAGUAUCUAGGAAUUUUAAAUAAGGGAGACUCUCCCCUUACAAUAUCCAAAAAAGCCUAUACCUAUUCAAAAGAGCUAUGUUUUUAAGACAUAGCUAAGUUAAGGAGAUUUGAACCAUCUCAAGGUGGUUCUUUGAUUAGCUUGAUUUUCCUUCUUCUGAAGUUAGCCAUCUCGAUCAUGUCUAAUUGAUAAUAUGCUUUUGCUGCUUUUGGUAAUUGUUGACUGUUGCAAUAUAUUUGGGGACAUGUCAUUUUGUGGCUAUGCUUAGAUAGAGAAUCAGCCACAUAGUUGGCUUCCCUGUAGAUGUGUGUGCAUCGAAAAUUUUGGGUGUGUCUGAUGAGUUCUUGGAGCUGCUGUAGUUGUGUGAUAAUGCUCCAUGGAGGCUUGAUUUUUAGGGUGAUCCAGUCUACCAGUAGCUGUGAAUCUACUUCCAAAAAAACAUUUCUAUAGCCUAGUUGAAGAACCCAUGUCAUGCCAAAUAUGGCUGCCCCAAUUUCAGCUUGAUUGUUGGUGCCCUCCCCCAAAGGUGUAGAAAUUAGGUAUUAGGGAUUAGGGUUUAGGGUGUAUGGUUUAUGGUUUAUGGUUUAGGUUAUACGGUUGAGGGUUUAGGUUUUUGGAUUUAGGGUUUUGGUUUGUAGGUUUAGGGUUUAGGGUUAGUGUUUAGGGCUUAUGGUUUUGGGUUUAGUGUUUAGGUUUAGGGUUUAUGAUUAAUGGUUUAGGGUUAGGGUUUAGGGUUUGGGUGUAUGGUUUAGGGUGUAUGGUUUAGGGUUUACGAUUUAGGGUUUAGGGUUUUGGGUUUAAGGUUUACAGUUAGGGUUUAGUGUUUGAGGUUUAAAUUUUAGGAAUUUGCAUUUAGGGUUUAGGGUUUAGGAUUUAGGUUUAGGGUUUAGGAUUACAGGUUUAGGGUUAGGGUUUAGGGUUUAGGGUUUAAGGUUUAGGGUUUAGAGUCAGGGUUUAGGGUUUAGACUUUUGGAAUCAAGGUUUAGGGUUUGGGGUCUUGGUUUAAGGAUUAGGGUUUAUGGUUUAGGGUGUAUGGUUUAGGUUAUACGGUUUAGGGUUUAGGUUUUUGGGUUUAGGGUUUUGGGUUGUAGGUUUAGGGUUUAGGGCUUUGGGCUUAGGGUUUAAGGGUUAGGGGUUAGGGGUUAGUGUUUAGGGUUUAUGUUUUACGUUUCAGGGUUUAUGGUUUAUAGUUUAGGGUUUAGCAUUAGAGUUUAGGGUUUAGGGUUUAGAGUUUAGGAUUUAGGGUUUAGGGUUUAGAGUUCAGGCUUUAGAGUUUAUGGUUUAGGAUUUAGAGUUUAGGAUUUAGGGUUUAGGAUUUAGGGUUUAUGGUUUAAGUUUUGAAGUUUAGGGUGUACUGUUUAUGGUAUAGGGUUUAGAGUCUAGGGUUUAGGGUUUAGGGUUUAGGUUUAUGAUUUUUUUAUUUUAUUUUAUUUUAAUGACUCUUGAAGGGGUCAGGGGAUUAGCAACACCCUAGGCCUUAGCAUAGAUAAAAAAGAAAAUACAAGGAGGGUUUAGGAUUUAGGCUUUAGGAUUUAGGGUUUAUGGUUUACGAUUUAGGGUUUAGGAUUUUGGAUUUAGGCUUUAGGGUUUAGGAUUAUGGUUUAGGGUUUAGGAUUUAGGGGUUAGAGCUAAGGGCUUAACGAUUAGGGUUUAGGGUUUAAGGUUUUGGAUUUAGGGUUUAGGGUUAGGGAUUAGGAUUAUGAUUUAGGGUUUAGGGUUAGAGUAUAGUAUUUAGGGUUUACGGUUUAGAGUUUGGAUUUAUGGUUUAGAGUUUAGGUUUGGGGUUGAGGGUUUAGGGUAUUUUGGAUUAGGAGUUUAGGAUUUGGUGUUCACGAUUUAGGGUUUAGGGUUUGGGAUUAUGGUUUAGGGUUUAUGGCUUAGCAUUUUCAAUUUAGGGAUUAGGGUUCGGGUUUUAGGGUUUAGGGUUUAGGGUUUAGGGUUUAGUGUUUAGUGUUUAGUGUUUAGUGUUUAGGGUUCUAGGGUGUAGGGUUUUGGGUUUAGGGUGUAGGGUUUAGGUAUUAUGGUUUUGGGUUUAGGGGUUUAGGUUUUAUGGAUUAAUGGUUUAGGGUUAUGGUUUAGGGUUUCAUGGAUUAAUGGUUUAGGGUUAGGGUUUAGGGUUUAGGAUCUAGAGUUUAGGGUUUAGUGUUAGGGUUUAGGGUUUAUAGUUCAUGAUUUAUGAUUUAGGGUUUAGGGUUUUGGAUCUAGAGUUUAGGGUUUAGGGUUUAUAGUUUAUGAUUUAUGAUUUAGAGUUAAGGUUUAGGUUUAGGUUUAGGGUUUAGGGUUUAGAGCUUAGGGCUUAGAGUUUAGGGUUUACGGUUUAGUGUUAGGGAAUUAGGAUUAGGAUUUAGGGUUUAGAGUUUUUAUUUAUGAUUUAGAGUUAAGGGUUUAUGAUGUUAUCCUCACAAGAAGAAUCACUAAAAACAGCGGAAAACAAGAAAGAUAGAAGAAGAGAGACAAGAUAAGAAACAAUUGGCAACUAAAGGAUGUAUUAAAUCCAAUAACCUCCAAUUUCGAUCCUAACAAACACCUUAUCCGGAUAAAUAGAUUGACACAAGAAAAGGAAAUCAAAAGCAACCUAAAGGUAUGUUAAACCUAAAGACCUCAAUCGAUUAAUCCACAAUCAAGCACCUAAUCUCUUACGAAGACCUCAAGGAAAUUGAAUCUCCCAGCAACCCCGUUUCUAAACAAAGUUCAGCAAAAGCUUUACCAAGCUCUCAAGUAUCUCAAGGAGAUCCAAUUAAUCAUUCAUCAAUAUUCAAAAAUAGUCUCCCUAAAAUGAACCCUAAGACACCUAUUUAUAGUAUUAGGCAUUAUUACAUAGAUGGGCCCAAAACUGACCUGAAAUGGGUGAGCUAAGUCGGGAUCGCCUAAUCCUCUUAGCGAGUCGCCGAUCAGUCGGCAAUGUGCACUGCUCCCUUGGCUUUUCCCUUGAUGGCUACUAUAACUUUCGAUGGUCUGGGGUCAAUGGGUGAUGCGUCGAAUGUCCUCCAUGCUCGCCGAAUGGGCAACCUUCUCUUACAGCUCAUUGGAUCAGUUGGCGAUUUUGGAACACUCGCCAAAGGGCUUUGGCAAGUCGCCGAAGUGUCCUUCAGCUCACCGAAUGAAGCACAUUCUUCAGUUGCUCAUCCUCGCUUCGUUAGGCCUUUCACGCUCCAAGCUAUCAUCCAAGCAUGGUGUUGCCCAACUGGGAGCUCCUUCAAGGUGCAUAUGUUCCCAUGGAAGGCAUGAAACUCCCUCAUUGGCAUCCAUACAUGCCAAACAACCUCCAUCCUUGUGAGCACUCCAUCAAAGCAUUGAAGUUCGUGAAUGGAUAGGCUUGAUGUAAUCCAUUUUACAUCUGUUUAGGGUUUAGAUUUUGGAUUUAGGGUUUAGAGUUUAGGUUUGGGGUUAGGGUUUAUGGUUUAGGGUUUAAGGUUAGGGUUUAGAGUUUUGAAAUUAGCGUUUGGGGUUUAGGAUUUCACAUUUAGAGUUUAGGGUUUAGGUUUUAUAAUUUAGGGUGUAUGGUUUAUGGUUUAUGGUUUAUGGUUUAGGGUUUAUGGUAUAGGGUUUAGGGUUUAGGUUUUAGGGUUUAAGGUUUAAGGUUAGGGUUUAGAGUUUUGAAAUUAGCGUUUGGGGUAAAGGGUUUAGAGUUUAGGGUGUAUGGUUUAUGGUUUAUGGUUUAGGGUUUAUGGUAUAGGGUUUAGGGUUUAGGUUUUAGGGUUUAANNNNNNNNNNNNNNNNNNNNNNNNNNNNNNNNNNNNNNNNNNNNNNNNNNNNNNNNNNNNNNNNNNNNNNNNNNNNNNNNNNNNNNNNNNNNNNNNNNNNNNNNNNNNNNNNNNNNNNNNNNNNNNNNNNNNNNNNNNNNNNNNNNNNNNNNNNNNNNNNNNNNNNNNNNNNNNNNNNNNNNNNNNNNNNNNNNNNNNNNNNNNNNNNNNNNNNNNNNNNNNNNNNNNNNNNNNNNNNNNNNNNNNNNNNNNNNNNNNNNNNNNNNNNNNNNNNNNNNNNNNNNNNNNNNNNNNNNNNNNNNNNNNNNNNNNNNNNNNNNNNNNNNNNNNNNNNNNNNNNNNNNNNNNNNNNNNNNNNNNNNNNNNNNNNNNNNNNNNNNNNNNNNNNNNNNNNNNNNNNNNNNNNNNNNNNNNNNNNNNNNNNNNNNNNNNNNNNNNNNNNNNNNNNNNNNNNNNNNNNNNNNNNNNNNNNNNNNNNNNNNNNNNNNNNNNNNNNNNNNNNNNNNNNNNNNNNNNNNNNNNNNNNNNNNNNNNNNNNNNNNNNNNNNNNNNNNNNNNNNNNNNNNNNNNNNNNNNNNNNNNNNNNNNNNNNNNNNNNNNNNNNNNNNNNNNNNNNNNNNNNNNNNNNNNNNNNNNNNNNNNNNNNNNNNNNNNNNNNNNNNNNNNNNNNNNNNNNNNNNNNNNNNNNNNNNNNNNNNNNNNNNNNNNNNNNNNNNNNNNNNNNNNNNNNNNNNNNNNNNNNNNNNNNNNNNNNNNNNNNNNNNNNNNNNNNNNNNNNNNNNNNNNNNNNNNNNNNNNNNNNNNNNNNNNNNNNNNNNNNNNNNNNNNNNNNNNNNNNNNNNNNNNNNNNNNNNNNNNNNNNNNNNNNNNNNNNNNNNNNNNAUUUGGGUUGUAGGGUUUAGGUUUUAGGGUUUAGGGUUUAGGGUUUAGGUUUUAGCUUUUAGGGUUUAGUGUUAAAGGUUAGCGUUUAGGGUUUAGGGUUAUAGUUUAGGGUUUAGAGUUUAGGAUUUAGGGUUUACAGUUUAGGGUUUAGAGUUUAGGGUUGAGGAUUUAGGGUUUAAGGUUUAGGGUUUAGGGUUUCUAUUUUAGGUUUUGUGUUUAGGUUUUGUGUUUUGUGUUUAGGGUGUAGGGUUUAGGGUUUAGGGUUUAGAGUUUAGGAUUUAGGGUUUAAGGUUUAGGGUUUAGGAAUUAGGGUUUAGGGCUUAAAGAUUUAGGCUUUAGGGUUUAGGGUUAGGGAUUAGGGUUAGGGUUUAGGAUUUAGGGUUUAAUGUUUAGGCCUUAGGGUUUAGAGUUCUAGGCUUUGUGUUUAGGGUUAGGAAUUGGGAUUAGGAUUUAGGGUUAAAGGUUUAGGGAUUAGGGUUUAGAGUUUAGGAUUUAGGGAUUAGGGUUUAGAGUUUAGGAUUUAGGGAUUAGGGUUUAGAGUUUAGGGUUUAGAGUUUAGGGUUGGGGUUUAGAGUUUAAGGUUUUUAGGAUUAGGAGUUUAGGAUUUAAGGUUUAUGGUUUAGUUUGGGGUUAGGGUUUAGGGUUUAGGGUUUACUGUUUAGAGUUUAGUGUUUAGGGAUCUAAGUUUAGUGUUUUGGGCUUAGGGUUUAGGGUUUAGGGUUUAGAGUUUAGGGUUUAGGUUUAGGGGUUUAGCGUCUAGGGUUUUGGGUUUAGUGGUUUAGGGUUAAGGGGUUAGUGUUUAGGGUUUAUGGAUUAAUGGUUUAGGGUUAGGGUUUUGGGUUUACGGUUUAGGGGGGUCAAGGGUUUUUAGGUUUUAGGGUUUAUAGUUUAUGAUUUAUGAUUUAGGGUUAGGGUUUAGGGUUUAGGGUUUAGGGACUAGGGUUUAGGAUUUAGGGUUUAGGGUUUAGGGACUUGGGUUAAUGGUUUAGAGUUAAGGUUUGGGUUUAGGGUUUAGGUUUUAUGUUUAGAACUUAGAAUGGGUUUAGGGUAAGGGAUUAUGAUUAGGAUUUAGGGUUUAGGGUUUAGGAAUUAGGGUUUAGAAUUUAGGAUUUAGGGUUUAGGCUUUAGGAUUUUUGAUUUAGAGUUUGGAAUUAGGGUUUAGAAUUUAGGAUUUAGGGUUUAGAGUUUAGGAUUUAGGGUUUAGAGUUUGGAAUUAGGGUUUAGAGUUUUGGUUUUGGGUUGAAGGUUUAGGGUUUAGGGUUUAGAGUUUUGUAAGUAGGGUUUAGGGUUUGGGGUUUAGGGUUUAACAAUUAGGGUUUAGGGUUUAGAGUUUAAGGUGUAUUGUUUAUGGUUUGUGGUUUAGGGUUUUUGGUAUUGGGUUUAGGAUUUAGGGUUUAAGGUUUUGAGUUGUAGAUUUAGGUUUUAGGGUUUAAGGUUUAGGGUUUAGGAUUUUUUUUACCCUCUCUAGGAGCUUCCACCCCUUUUAGCUCCCUUGGUGACUCAAACUCGCAACCUUCGGGGUGGAAGUGAGCAGUGCUUACCAUCCUAGCAACUUCCUCUCGUUAGGGUGGCUUUAUGUAUUAGGGUUUAGGGUUUAUAGUUUAGGGUUUAAGGUUUAGGAUUAGAGUUUAGGGUUUAGGGUUUAGGGUUAGAGUUUAGGGUUUAGAGUUUAGGAUUUAGGGUUUAGGAUUUAGGGUUCAGGGUUCAGGGUUCAGGGGUCAAGGUCUAGAGUUUAGGGUUGAUGAUUUAGGGUUUAGAGUUAGGGUUUAAGGUUUAUGGUUUAGGGUUUAGGGUUUCGAGUUUAGGUUUUGUGUUUAGAGUUUAGGGUCUAGGGUCUAGGGUUUAGGGUUUAGGAUUUAGGGUUCAUGGUUUAGGAUUCUGUGUUUAGGAUUUAGGGUUUAGGGUUUAGAGUUAGGGUUUGGGGUUUAGGAUUAGGGUUUAGGUUUUAUGAUUUAGGGUUUAAGGUUUUGGCAUUAGGGUUUAGAGUUACGGGCUUUGCAUUUAGUGUGAGGGAUUAAGAUUAGGAUAUAUGGCUAAGGGUUUAGGGAUUAGGGUUUAGAGUUUAGGAUUUAGGGUUUAGGGUUUAGGGUGUAGAGUUUGGAUUUAGGGUUUAAAGUUUAGGUUUGGGGUUUAGGGUUUAGGGUUUUUAGGGUUAGGAGUUUAGGAUAUAGGGUUUACGGUUUAGGAUUUAUGGUUUAGGUUUAGGAUUUAUGGUUUAGGGUUUUGGGUUUAGGUUUUGGGUUUAGGGUUUAAGUUUUAGGGUUUAGUGUUUAUAGUUUAGGGUUUAGGGUUUAGGAUUUAGGGUUUAGGGUUUAGGGUUUAGAUUUUAGGGUUAGGGCUUUUAGGUUUUGGGUUUAGGGGUUUAGGGUUGAUGGAUUAACGGUUUAGGGUUAGGGUUUAGGGUCUAGGGUUUUGGAUUUAGGGUUUAGCAUUUAGGGUUAGGGUUUUGGGUUUAGGGUUCAGAGUUUAGAAUUUAUUAUUUAUGAUUUAGGUUUUAAGAUUAAUGGUUUAGGGUUUAGGGUGUAGGGACUAGGGUUUAGGGACUAGGGUUUAGAGUUUGGAUUUAUUGUUUAGUGUUAAGGUUUAGGAUUAGGGUUUACGGUGUAGGUUUUUUUUUUUAACUACCCUUGGUUGGGGUAGGGGCUGAGCAACACCCCCAGGCCUUAACAUAAAUAAAACUAAAAGUUCAAGGAAGGGGGCAUAAACCUAACCUCCGGUCCUAUGGUGGUUCAAUAAUCGACUUUCCUAAAAGGAUAGUCAAUUCGACCCUUACAAAAAGAUAAAUCCAAGAAACUAAGCAUCUUAAAGAGAGGACUCCUCUCGAUACAUAGAAUCUAAGAAUCAUAAACUAGGGAGACUCUCCCCUUACAUCAAAAGAAAUUAAAACUUAUACCUAUUCAAAAGAGGUAUAAUUUUAGAUUAUAGCUAGGUUGAAAAGGUUGUUCUCUUUCUCAAGGAGGUUCCUUGAUCUUCGUGAUUUUUCUUCUCCUGAAAUUUGCCAUAUCCUGCAUGUCUAGUUAGUGGUAGGCUCUUGGUUCCCUUGGUAAUUGAUGGCUGUUGAAGUAUAUUUGAGGAUUAGGGAUCUUGUGGCUGUGUUUUGAUAGGGAAUCAUCAACAAAAUUGGCUUCUUUGUAAGUGUAUCUGCAUCUGAACUCCUGUGCAUGUCUGAUGAGUGCUUGAAGUUUCAGUACCUGUGUGUUAAUGCUCCAUGGAGGGUUUGUUUUGCUCAUGAUCUAGUCCACCAAAAAUUGUGAGUCCACCUCCAGUUGGAUGUUUCUGUAUCCCAGUUCAAAGGACCAUGUCAUGCCAAAUAUAGUUGCUUCCAAUUCAGCUUGGUUGUUGGUUCCUUCUCCCAAGGGAGUCGCAAAUGCUAGCAUCGUUUCCCCUGUAUUGCCCUUUAAAAUGCCUCCUGCUCCUAUUUUGCUUGGGUUGCUCAAAGCACUACCAUCGGUGUUGAGUUUUACCCAUUGUUCUGGAGGUUUUUUCCACAUAACAAGAGUCACUUUGGUAUCAUGAAUACAUCUUUUCCCCAGUUGGAUCAGCUCCUUCCAAGUCAAAGGCCAUUUGAUGUGAGGGAAAAUAGUGGUCAUGAACUUGUAAUUGUCCUUGUAUAUGGCAUAUUUAACUCUGCUAUUAUUGGAUUGUUUGCCUCCAUAUUUGCUAGCACACCUAUUCUUCCAAAGAUUCCAACAAAUGAAUAUUGGUGUAGCUUGAAGUAGCAGCCUGUGUGCUUCAUUGUUGUACCGAGUUGACCACCAUUGCAUGAUUAGGUGAGGUAAGGAAGAGUGGUCUGUAAUGAUUCCAGCACCUGCAACAAAGCUUUUCCACACAUAGGUAGCAAAUUGUCCACUGUUGAAGGUGUGUUCUAUGUUAUCCAGACCUGGCCUACUACAACAAAAACAAUUUGCUAGCUCAUUGCCAAAGCUGGUUAGUUUCUCGUUAGUAGGAAGUUUACCUCUUAAAGCUCUCCACAAAAGAAAAGAAGAUUUAAAAGGAAUGUUCCUGUGCCAAAUGAAGGAGUUGAAUUUUGUUUUGGUUCUCUUCUCUCUGAUAGCAUUCCAUGCAGAAGAACAAUUAAACUUUCCAUCAUUGCUUAGUUUCCAAAUAGGUUGAUCUGGGAGGUCCUGCUGGACCUGAAGGUCUGUGACCAGAAUGUUGACUAAUUGACAGUUAGGGGCCUGUUGAAUAAGCAUAUUCCAGGUCCAGUUACCAUUAAUCAAGAAUUCAGCAAUAGUGGUGUUAUUAAACCUAUUACUCUCAUUAGAAAGUCUAGCAAGAGGUCCAUCACCAAGCCAACUAUCCCACCAAAAAGAACAAGUGCCAGAGUUGAUUUUCCAAUGAAUGUUUUCUUCAACUUUAUGCUUGUUGUGCAUUAGGUGCUUCCAAGUAAGUGACUCUCAUGUAUCCCAUUUCUUGCUAAUAGGAUUAGAUCUCUGACAAUAUUUAGCCUUAAAAAAAUCUCCCCAGAGGGUUUGUUUGGAUCUGAAAAUCCACCAUUGUUUGUAUUGGAAUGCCAUGCAUAUAUCUUUUAGAUUCCUUACACCAAUGCCUCCUUCAUCAACAGGAAAGCUUAAAUUUUUCCAUGAAGACCAAUGGUAUUUUUUCCUUUCACUCCUCAACCCCAGAAAAAGUUAGCCAUGAUGCUUUGAAUUUGUUUAAGGACAGUAACAGGGGGGGUGACAGCAUAUAGUAAAUGAAUAGGGAGGGAUUGUAAUACAUGUUUGUCCAAUAUUACUCUACCCCCAUAGCUUAGUAUUUUAGUUUGCCAACCUGUAAUUCUGUUAAGCACCUUGUUAAUAAGAUCAGAGAAAUAUAUGAUUCUAGGCCUGCCUACAAAUAAAGGGAAGCCUAGGUAAGUGAUAUGGCCCUCUUUCUGUUUAAAUCCAGUCACUCUUUUGAUUUUAUCUUUUGUGCUGUUGAAGGCACUAGAGUGAAUCAUAAAGUGACUUUUUAUUUGUUCACAAGCUGGCCGGAUGUCUCUUCGUAGGAGCUCAAAGUUUGCGUAAUAAGCUUUAAAGUUCUGUGUCUCCCAGAGGAAUAUCGUCUGCAAAGCUGAGAUGAUUCACUUGAGGACCUCUCUUCUCCAUGAAAAAACUAUGAUAGUCGGGGUUAUUAUGAAGCCUGUUAAGAGAUCUUGAAAGUACUUUCCCCUACCCUUAAAAUAAAUAGGGCAGGGGAAAGUGGAUCACCUUGCGUGAGACCUCUAGUAGAGUGGAAAAAACCAUGUCUCUUUCCAUUGACUAUAAUAGAGUACCAAUUGUUAGCCAUGAUCCUCCAAACCAUAUCAAUGAAUACCUCAUCAAACCCCAUUUUUCUCAGUACUAGGUAGAUAUAGGACCAAGAGACCCUAUCAUAUGCCUUGGCCAUGUCCGGGUGUAGGGGUUAGGAGUUUAGGAUUUAGGAUUUAUAGUUUAGGGUUUAGGGUUUAGGUUUAGGGGUUAGGUUUCAAGGUUUAGGGUUUAAGGUUUAGGGUUUAGGGUUUAGGGUUUAGGGUUUAGGGUUUAGGGUUUAGGGUUUAGGGUUUAGGGUUUAGGGUUUAGGGUUUAGGGUUUAGGGUUUAGGGUUUAGGGUUUAGGGUUUAGGGUUUAGGGUUUAGGGUUUAGGGUUUAGGGUUUAGGGUUUAGGGUUUAGGGUUUAGGGUUUAGGGUUUAGGGUUUAGGGUUUAGGGUUUAGGGUUUAGGGUUUAGGGUUUAGGGUUUAGGGUUUAGGGUUUAGGGUUUAGGGUUUAGGGUUUAGGGUUUAGGGUUUAGGGUUUAGGGUUUAGGGUUUAGGGUUUAGGGUUUAGAGUUUAGGGUUUAGGGUUUAGGGUUUAGAGUUUAGGGUUUAGGGUUUAGGGUUUAGAGUUUAGGGUUUAGGGUUUAGGGUUUAGAGUUUAGGGUUUAGGGUUUAGGGUUUAGAGUUUAGGGUUUAGGGUUUAGGGUUUAGAGUUUAGGGUUUAGGGUUUAGGGUUUAGAGUUUAGGGUUUAGGGUUUAGGGUUUAGAGUUUAGGGUUUAGGGUUUAGGGUUUAGAGUUUAGGGUUUAGGGUUUAGGGUUUAAGGUUUAGAGUUUAGGGUUUAGGUUUUUUUUAUUUUAUUUGAGCGAUUCUUGGGAGGGGGGGGGGGUCAGGGUCUUAGCAACACCCUCAGGCCUUAGCAUAAAUAAAACAAAAAUAAGUACAAGGAGGGUGACAUAAAACCUUACCUCCGAUCCUAUGCUUGUUCAAGAGUCGACCUUCCUACUAAGGAAAUUCAACUUAUCCCCAUACUAUAAAAAAGGAAACAUAGCACUAAGUACCUAAGGAGAGGACUCCUCUUAAUACAAAGUUACUAGGAAAGCUUAAAUAAGGGAGACUCUCCCCUUACACAGGGAAAGAAAAUAAAAAGCGCCUAUAUAAAGAAACUAUACCUACUCUAGAUAUAGUCAAGUUGAAAAGGAUGAUAACCCAUAAUAAGCUAUUCAAGGAGGUUUUUUGAUUUUUUUCAGCUUCCUUUUUCUGAAGUUGAUCAUGACCAUCCUCUCCAAUAAGUAGCUUCCUUUAACUGGAACAUGUAGCUGGUUGAGAGUGUAAAAUAAUUGAGGAAUGUCUUUCUUAUGGCUCAAUUUGUCUAGAAAGUCAGUAGUAGUGUUGGCUUCCCUGUAAGUAUGCAAGCAUUGAAAUGAUUCCAUUUAUUGAAUGAGAUUCUGCAGCUCUUUAACAUAUUGUUGUAUCUUCCAUACGUUUAGCUAGUGAGUGAGGAGUUCAGAAUCCACUACCAGCACAACCUUCCUAUAACCAUGUUGAUAUCACCAGUUUAAUCCAAACACUGCAGCUUGCACCUAUGCCUGAUUAUUGGUGCCUGUACCAAGGGGCACUGUGAAUGCAAAUAUAAGUUCCCCUGCUUGAUCCCUUAGGAUACCUCCCCUCCUAUCUUGCCAGGGUGUAACACCCCAUGUCCUGGUCGUUUGUACGACUAAGUUCACAUCGACAAACCUAUUAUUAUUUAGGAGAAUGAGGUUGUAAUCAAAGCCUAAACACCAAGGGUUAAAGUAUAUAUAUAAUUAGUUAAGAUAAGGUUCAAAUGAAUGGUUUGGACAGAAAUGAAAAUUUGAAUCAAGCGCUUCACCUACUUGCUUCACCUAUGUGCUUUCACCUACUUGCUCCACCUACUAGCUUCACCUACUAAGCCUUAAUGACCAGUCAAAAGGACCAUGUAGGUGCAUCACCUACUUGGACUCCUUGACCAGCUCAAAGAUCCAAGUAGGUGGAUCACCUACUUAGCCAUUUUUGUGGCCCAAAAUAAAGAGAAAAAGUGAGGCGCCGGAGACUCUUUAAGACAAAGACUUGGCUAAUGUUCUCUUAUGAUUCUUACAUACAUAAAUUCUAUGAGCUCUCUCAAGUUUAUAUCUUCAUCUCUCAACUUCAGGCAUCUGCCUCAAAUUAUAUCUAGGAUUCUUGAAGAAAUCCUUCUCUUUCAAAUCUAACUUUGAAGGUUAAUUCAAGCCCUUGAAGGACUGCAAGUCAAGGUCUAAAUUUGCAGAAAUUUAGGUAAUCUUACUUCCCCAUUUUAUCUCAAUAUAUAUAUUAGAUUGGGUGAGAUUUAUCUAGGUUAUUUUCAUGAAAUUAUGGGACUAUGACCGAAAUUGAUGAGUCCAAGCUUUAGUGAUUAUGAUAAAACGUGUGGAGCUGCCUAAUAUGGUGAAUCUUGGAGCAGUAUUGGGUGGAUAGUUGGAUUCAUUUGGUGGUGAAGGACGCUAUUUUAUACCUAUGUAUGCUAGUAAAAGUGUUGUUUGUGUGUAUGAGAUAGUUGGGUGUUGAAACACCAGUUUUGAAAAUUGUGGAGCUUUAUCCCCGCUAGGUGUUCGACAUAAUAUCCUACUGGUCUAUUUCUUGACCUAUUGACUCUAUUGUAAUGUAAUCGAUCUGUAUAUUUAUAUUAUAAUUUAUAGUGUUGGAUGGUCUUAUGAGGUAAUUAUGAACUCAAGCUAUUAAGCAAAUGUUAGCAAAAUAUUCAAAAAUAGGUAAGAAUGACCUUAGAGGUUCAAGUCAGUUAGUCUAUGAAGUUAAUACGAGACAGAUGAAAAUAAUGGACUAGAAAGGAAAAGGUUUAUACACUCUAAUAUGACUAAUCCCCAAAGCUAAGGAGAAUUAAGGUCAGAUGAUGAUUGAUUGGUUAGACAUAAGCUAUGACGAAGGCAUUAUGCUAGUAAGUUUUAAUUGGGAGAAUUCUGUUAGAUACUAAGUAGAUAAGAAUAGUGUUUGGGUGUCGUCAAGUGCUGCAGUAUGCUAAUGUUCCUUGUUAAAGGAGAAUAGUUGAGUAUAGUUACUGAAAAUGUAAUUAAAGUGAAAAAAGUGAGGUAAGCUGUGCUUGUUAAAGGUUGUCUCAUAUGUUAAGUGAAUAAGAGUAGCCUUAUAAUCCAUGGUCCACCAUCUCAUGAUUAGAUUCCUCAAAGGAAUUUUGUCCUGCUUGUCUCCUAAUAUAGCUAAAUGAAAUUGCCAAAUGUGAUUAGCAAAAUGACCAGUCACAAAGAUGUGAUCAAUAGUAUCCCAUCCAGUCUUGAUGCAACAAGAACACAUAAGGGUUUAGGGUUUUGAGUUUACGAUUUAGGAUGUAGGGCUUAGUGUUUAGGGUUGUAGGUUUAUGGUUUAAGGUUUAGGGGUUAGGGGUUAGAGUUUUGAUUUAGGAUUUAGGGUAUAGUUUUUUGAGUUUAGGAUUUAGGUUUUAAAGUUUAGGGUGUAGGGUUUGGAGUUUAGGAUUUAGGGUGUAGGGUUUAGGGUUUNNNNNNNNNNNNNNNNNNUUUGGGGUUUUUUUUUUUUUUUUUUUUUAAUUUGAACGACCCUUGGGGGGUCAGGGGCUUAGCAACACCCCCAGGCCUUAGCAUUAAUAACAAAACAAAAAUACAAGGAGGGGGACAUAAACCUUACCUCCGAACCUAUGGUGGUACAUGUGUCAACCUUCCUAUAAGGCUAGUCGACUCAUCCCCGUACUAGAAAAGGAACCUACUAACUAUGCGCCUAGAGAAGAGGACUCCUCUCCGUACAUCAUAACUAGUAAGCAAUAACUAGGAGACUCUCCCUUACAUGGAAACGAAUGGAAAACUAAUCUAGAGUCUAUCUAAAACUUAAGGCGGUUGCUUGAUUCUCUUUAUUUUCUUCCUUUUGAAAUUGGAUACUCCCAUCCUCUCUAGCAGGUAGCUACCUUUAGCAACUGUAGGAAGCUAAUGAUGAGUGUAGUAUUGUCUGAUAAUGUCUGAGUUGUGGCUUCCCUUUGCAAGGAAAUCUGCUGUACUGUUAGCUUCCCUGAAGAUGUGCCUGCAUUCAAAAACUUCUAGCUGUCUAGCGAGUCUGAUCAGUUCCUUGAUGUGCUGCUGAAUCUGCCAGGGAGGUUUUUGAUUUUAUAGCUGAUCCAAUUAUUCAGCAGCUUUGAGUCAACUUCGAGGAUAAUCUUCUUAAAACCAUUGAACACACCAGUAGAUACCUUGCUGCGCUGCAAGUGUCUCUGCUAAAUUAUUUGAGCCAAUUCCAAGAGGAAUGCUGAAAGCAUAUAUCAUGUUGCCUUGAUGAUCCCUCAAAAUUCCUCCGCCCCCAAUUUUGCCCGGAUUGUUCAUUGCACUACCAUCCGUAUUGAGUUUAAAAAUAUCGGUGGGAGGAGUUUUCCAAUUAACCUGAGUGAUCGUGAUCUCAUGUUUGCAAGCCUCCAUAUAAUUGAUCAAGUCAUGCCAGUCCUCAGGCCAUUGCAAAUAUGGAAAGACAAUAUGGAGAAGCAUUAUGAUGUCAUUCUGAAUACUGAAUUUAACUCUGAUGAUGCUAGAUUUUUUGCCUCCAUACUUAGCUGAACAUCUAUUUUUCCAAAGAUUCCAACAUGUUAUAAUCGGCAAAGAGUGCAGAAACAGUUUCUGCACUGCAUUUCUGUGUUCUGUUCCCCACCAGGUAGUCAGUAAGUUUCUCAGAGUGUUCUGGUUGUGAGGGAUACCAACACUUGCUGCAAAAAAAUUCCAUAUGAAGCUAGCAAAAUUACCAUUAACUAAAAUAUGGUCAAUAUCAUCGAGACCAGGCCUGCUGCAGCAGGAGCAGUUGGCAGGUUCAGCUCCAAAUUUGAUGAUCCUCUCAUUAGUGGGGAGUUUGCUCCUAAUUGCCCUCCAAAGGAAAAAAGGACAUCUUGAAGGGAAUGUGCUUGUGCCAGAGUUUAUGGUUUAGAAUUUGGAUUUAGGGUUUAGGGUCUAAGGUUUAGCAUUUAGGGUUUAGGGUUUAUGCUUUAGGGUUUAGUGUUUAGGGUUUAGGGUUUAGGGUUUAGGUUAUAGGGUUUAGAGUAUAGAGUUAGUGUUUAGGGCUUAAGUUUUAGUUGUUAGUGUUUAGGGUUUAGGGUUUAGAGCUUAAGGUUUAGGGUAUAGGGCUUAGGGUGUAGGGUUAGGGUUUAUGGUUUUAAGUUUAGGAUUUAGGGUUUAGAGCAUAGGAUUUAGGGUUUAGGGUUUAUGCUUUAGGGUAUAGGGUUUAUGGUUUAUGAUUUAGGUUUUAGGGUUUUGGGUUUUUUUUUUUUUUUUUUUAUUUGAACGACCCUUGUUUUUUUUUUAUUGUUUUUUUUUUAUUUUUUUAUUUUAUUUGAACGACCCUUGGGGGGGACAGGGGCUUAGCAACACCCCAGGCCUUAGCAUAAAUAAAAACAAAAGAAGUACAAGGAGGGGGACAUAAACCUAACCUCCAAUCCUAUGAUGGUUCAUAAGUCGACCUUCCUACUAAGGAUAGUCAGCUUAUCCCCGUUCUAAGAAAAGGAAAAUCUAGACUCUAAGCACCUAAAAGAGAGGACUCCUCUCGAUACAAAGUAUCUAGAAAUCGUAAAUAAGGGAGACUCUCCCCUUACAAAAGUAAGAAAAGAAACCUAAACCUGUUCAAGAAAGCUAUAAUUAUUCAAACAUAGCCCGGUUGAAAAGGUUGCACAUGACUUCAAGGAGGUUGUUUAAUUCUUCUGAGUCUCUUUCUUCUGAAAUUCUGCAUACCCAUUUUUUCCAAAAUGUAACUUCCUCGAGAUGCGCCUGGUAGUUGCUGAUACGUGUAGAAAUGUUGAAUAAUAUCUUGUCUAUGACUCCAUUUAGAUAAAUGAUCAGCUGUACAAUUAGCUUCCCUAAAUGUAUGCUUGCAUUGGAAAUACUCGCACUGACUACUGAUAUUUUUAAGUUCUUGUAUGUACUGCCGAAGCUGGCACGGUGCUGGGCUGUUGUGGUUGAUCCAUUUGCUAAGUAGCUCGGAAUCCACCUCCAAGAUGAUCUUCUUGUAUCCAUGUUGCACACACCAAUUGACUCCAUGUGCAGCUGCCUGUAUCUCUGCUUUGUUGCUGGUACCAAAUCCAAGAGGUAUAGCAUAUGCAUAAACUAAGCUGCCUUGGCCAUCCCUUAGAAUUCCUCCUCCCCCAAUCUUUCCUGAAUUGGUAAGAGCACUACCAUCUGUAUUCAGCUUGUACACUCCCAUAGUAGGUUUGUCCCAGCCGACUGGAAUUACCUUAAGCUCAUGCCUGCAGUUCUCUAUCAUACUGAUCACGUCCUUCCAAUUGCUGGGCCAUUGUAAGUAUGGGAAUACCGUGAUAAAUAAUUGCAUCAUAUCUUUGAAUAUGAGGUACUUGACUCUACCAAUGCUGGACUGCUUGCCUCCAUAUUUAGCGGAGCACCUAUUUUUCCACAGAUUCCAGUAAAUAAAGAACCUGUUUUUCCACAGAUUCCAGCAAAUAAAGGUAGGGAGUGCUUGAUGUAAUAGUUUGUGAACCUCGUUGCUGUGUUGGCUACUUCUCCAUUUCAUCAGUAAGCAUCUCAAAGUGGUGCAUGAGUGUUCAAUUCCCAGAAGUGCUGCAUGGACUUUCCAAAUGUGGUUAGCAAAAUUUCCAGUCACAAGAAUGUGAUCAAUAUCAUCUCUCCCGGGUCUGUGACAGCAGUAGCAAUUGGCUGGCUCGAUUCCAAAACUGGCGAGCUUUUCGUUGGUUGGCAACUUGCUUCUCAAAGCUCUCCAAAUAAAGAAAGACACUUUGAAUGGGACAUUUUUAUGCCAUAUGAUAGUGUUGAUCAGAUCCUUGGCCUGCUUUUUUCUGAUAAUUUCCCAUGCAGAUGAUAUAGAGAAUUGGCCACUGUCUGCUGGAGUCCAGAUUGCUUUAUCAGGAGUUUCUUCCUGAUGUUGAAUAUGUGUAUUAAGAAUGAUAGGAACAAUGAGAGGAGGAGCAUGUUGUCUCACUAAACUUUCCUUCCAUUGUCCUUCUUCAAUAAAAUAAGAGACUUGGAGAUUAUUUAAGCUAGAAAUAUUGUCCAUGAGGUCAGCCAAAGGUCCAUUUCCAAGCCAAUUAUCCCACCAAAAGGAAGAGCUUCCUGAGUAUAUUUUCCAGGUAAUGUGAGGCUCCACACUGGGUCUGUUUUUAAGGAGAUAUUUCCAAACCAAAGACUGGCCCGUAUCCCAUUUCUUAGCCACUGGGUUGGCUCUUUGACAAUAUUUAGCUUUUAAAAAUUGACCCCAUAGCGAGUUCUUUGUCCUAAAGGUCCACCACUGUUUAUAUUGAAAGGAGGUACAAAUAUCAGAAAGGAGUCUCACCCCUAUACCUCCUUCAUCACACGGAUAGCUGAGAGUUUCCCAUGAGGCCCAAUGGUACUUUUUCUUUUCUUUGUCCAUUCCCCAGAAAAAAUCAGCUGUGAUGUUCUUCAGGCAUUUGAUAGUAGUUUUUGGAGGAGAUAUAGCAGCCAUAGUGUGAAUAGGAAUAGAUUGCAGAACAUGUUUCACUAAAGUGACUCUACCUCCAAAACUAAGAAUUCUGGAAUGCCAACCACUGAUUUUCUUGACCACUUUGUCCACCAGUUCAGAAUAAUAUAUGAUCCUUUGUCCACCAAUGUAUAGGGGGCACCCUAGGUAAUUAAUGGGACUCUCUUUCCUGCUAAACCCAGUGAUCUCCUGUAUCCCAGCAAUGAUAGCAGAACUGGUAUUUGAAGGGACCAUAAAAUGACUUUUGGACUUGUUUAGGAGUUGAUCAGAAACUGCCUCAUAAGUCGAGAUUGUCUUCAUAAUAAGCUGCACAGACUGCCUGGUUCCAGACGUAAAUAUGAUAAUAUCAUCAGCAAAACUUAAAUGGUUGAUUUGAGGGCCUCUGAGCUCCAUCUGGAACCCCUUAUACAUUUGAUUCUGAUGAAGAAGAUUCAGCAUUCUGGAUAAUACCUCAGCUCCUAAAAUAAAUAGAGCUGGGGAGAGGGGGUCACCUUGUUUGAGACCUCUUGUGGAGUGGAAAAAGCCAUGCCUUUUGCCAUUAAUGAUCACAGAGUACCAAUUGUUACUCAUAAUUCUCCAGACCCUGUCAAUGAAGAGCUCUCCAAACCCCAUUUUCCUCAAGACCAGACAAGUAUAGGACCAAGACACUCUGUCAUAUGCUUUUUCCAUGUCAAGCUUGAUCACAACAUUAUCUCCUUCUUUGGGUUUUUUAAUACCAUGGAUGAUUUCUUGGGCCAGCAUGAUGUUUUCAGAUAUGUUCCUUCCCCUAACAAAACCAGAUUGAUUUUCUGAAAUUAGGCUAGGGAGGAUAGGAGCAAGUCUGGUGCUUAAAAUUUUGGAAAUAAUUUUGUUAGAGAAGUUGCUGAGGCUGAUGGGUCUAAACUCAUUAAACUUGUUUGGAUGGUCCACUUUAGGGAGGAGAACCAAACAUGCAUGAGUCAUGAAUUUAGGCAUAAUGUGUCCAGUAAAAAAGGAUUGAACUGUAGCCAGUAAAUCUUCUUUAAUAAUAUCCCAACAAGACUGGUAGAAUUUUCCUCCUAUUCCAUCAGGACCUAGAGCUAAAUGAGGAUUCAUAGACAUUACUACCUGUUUCAACUCAUCCAUGGUUGGAAUGCUGUCAAGGGCCUGGUUCUGAUCUUGAGUAACCAUUCUGGGAAUGCACUGCAGAGCACCUUCACUGAUUCUGGCAGUAUGCCCAGUGAAUAUGUUCUGAAAGUAUUGACACGCUUCUUUAGCAAUGUUGUCAUCUCCUUGUAGCCAAUCUCCUUCAUCUGUACAGAUUUUAUGAAUGAAAAGUCUCCUCCUUCUUCCCCUCAUAAGUGCAUGAAAAUACUUGGUAUUUGCAUCCCCUUCCUUGAACCAAUGUAGCUGAGUUUUCUGUUUGAGGAUUGACUGUUCCAGCUUCAAAUAUCUAAUGUAUUGGGCAUUGAUGUUAUGCAGCUUGGACCUGUUUUCUUCAGUGUUAGCAGUGAUUAGAGUUUCUUCAGCACCUCUGACCUGUUCUUCAUACUCCUUUGCUUUUGCAAAUAUAUCCCCAUAUUCCAACCUUGACCAUUUACUCAGAGUGUUAGUUAGCCUCCUCAUUUUAGUGUGUAAGGACCACAUGGGAUUACCAGACACCUCCUUUUCCCAACAUUCCUUAACAGUUGCAUAGAAGUUAGGAUUUUCUGUCCAACAGUUAAGGAAUUUGAAAUACUUUGUAACCUGAUCUUGUCUCGUAGUCAUUUCCAACAAUAAGGGGCAAUGAUCUGACCCCACUGAUGGAAGAUGAGUAAUAGUGGUUUGGGGCAUACUUUCAAGCCAUUUAUCAUUCACCAUGGCCCUAUCAAGCCUCUUCCAAAUCCUAGCCUCCUCAGCUCUUUGAUUGCACCAAGUGAAUGGUUGACCAUUGUAUCCAAUGUCAAUCAAGCCACAAGCCUCAAUGACACUAAUAAACUCAUAGCUCUUAUUCAUGUUGUAUUCCCUGCCUCCUUGUUUCUCUUGAGUGGAAGUAAUCACAUUGAAGUCUCCAAUAGUGCACCAAGGAAGAUUAAUUUCAGAAACUUACAGUAGUUUAUCCCACAAAGGUCUCCUAAGUUGAUCUUCGCAUUUGGCAUAUACAUAAGAAAUAAUAAAUUUCUCUGGGUAAUCUGAAUGCUUCAGUUCACAGGUAGUGUGCUGCUCAUCAGUAUCAAGAACAUUACAAUCCAACUCUCCAGCCCAAAAAAGCCAAAUUUUAGCAUUAGGAUUACUGUGAGCCUUGUCCAUAUUAAGCUGAAUUCUAUAGCUAUUGAUUUGCGAGCUAUCUGCAAAAGGUUCAAGAAUUACGAUCAUAGUAAGAUUGUGCAUUUUCUUGAGAGUUUGAAUCCUUUCCAAAGAUCCUUGGGUGUUGAUACUCCUAGCAUUCCAGCAAAGGGUUGUGAUCAUCAUAAACCUCUACUUUUAGCUCUUGUAUUUGGUCUACUAAUUGUAGCAGAUGUGCUGUUAGAUUUAGUGGUUUGUCUUGUUUCCUUUCUUCCUCUAGGAGAUAAACCUUGUUUCCCGGUGAUUUCUUGAACCUCUUCUUGAUAUUCAGUGUGGAAUGUGGAGCCAAAGGCCUUAAUUAACUGAUUACUGAUCUCCUCCUCUUCAUCCUCAACAACAUCAAUGGACUGCGUGUCUUGGUCAUAUUCAUCCUUAGAAUUGUUGACCCCAUAUUCAUCAAAUUCCUCCUCAACCUCAUUUUUUCUCUGUUGCUCCUUGUCUGGAUCAGAUUCUUUUUGUUGUCUCUUUUUUAUAGCAUCUCUCCUUUUUUUGCUCAACCUGGCUUGAGCCUUAUUGUUAAGAGGCUUAUCAGGUGGUUCCCCUGGAACCUUAGAGUGCUGGGGAGUCUGAAAAUUUAUUCCUUCCUUCUCUUGUGGAAUACCAGUAAUGUGCUUCCCUGUGAUACCUGCUUGUAGCUGUCCCUGAGGACUAAUUUCUGCAACUUGAUUUUCCUUGCCUGUACUCUGUAUAUGCUGAUCCUCUGCAUGCUGAUUUUGUGUCUGGCUCUUCCUGUUCUGAGGGGUAGCAGGGGCUCUAUAGUCUCUAAGAUGGUCAGUGUAUUCCCCCUCAUGCAGAACAUGAGUCAAUUCCCUCCCUUUGGUUACCCCAUCCUGCAGGUUAGUUGGUUUCUCCUGUAUCCCUCCAACCAUCCCUCCAGAGACUUCAACAACAUGCACAGCAUGCUCCACAUGCAGAAUAUUGGGGUCAUGGGGUGUUGGGAGACUUAAGUCAAUACCUGUAGUCUUGCUAUGAUGACUGACUGCAUCUUGGUUUUUCUGAAUAUGUUUUGUGCUGUGGUGAUUUGUUGAUGGUGGAUCCUUACUUGAUUCGUACUUUGCUUGAUCUUCUUGUUCCUCUGGUUGAUUAUUGGUGUCCUCUCCAUCCUUGCCUGUAGUAUGUUGUUCCUGCAUAUCUAAAUCACUAUAAAUGUUAUGAGUAGAAAUGAUGUGAGUCAUACCUGUUCGAGCUGCUUGUUAUGGGCCUUGGUCCCUGUUUUCCUUAUUUUGGGGUGAUCUUGGCCUCCACACAGUUUUGGUAUUGCCUUGGUCCUGAUUGUUAUGCUGUUUCCUUUUCUGAAUCUGCCACUGGUCAUCCUGUUCAUGAUCUUCCUUUUCCUUUUAUGGAUCAGAUUUGGAGCUAUGCUAAUGGAAUCACUUGAGGUCCAAACUAUGUUAAAUAAAACAAAAUGAAAUUAAAGCCCAACAGCCAAAUCUGCCAAGGCCCAAUAUAUUUAAGCCCAAGUGAAAGUUAGUAGGUGCAUCACCUAGUUUGACCUUUUGAGUUGCUUGAUAUACAUAAGUAGGUGCAUCACCUACUUGACCAAUUAGUGGCAGAAAAUGAAGCUUUCUAGUGGAUAUUCUUAAAGGUGAAGAAAGCUAAAUAUAAAGAUAUAUUGGCUGCUAUUCUCACUCAUUUUAACACACAUUAUUGAGGAUUAGCUUUAGCUAUUUCUCUCUCUUUUCUCUUAAGGAUUAAACAGCAGCCCUAAAGUUCUUCUAGGGUUCUUGAAGAAACCCUCAUCUCUGCAAGACAAGGUAAGUGAAAACACUUCUGGAUUCAGCUUAAUUCUCCCAUGGAUGAUUAGGAAAACAUGUUAUUCAUGCCUCCCUGAUGUGGCUCUUCCUGGAAGUGAGAACACUGCUGCCCGACCAAGGAAAUAAGGAGAGGGAUUGAAAGGGGUUAUGAAUUCCAUUGAGUUAGCCCUACUUGAUCGAAUCAGCCAGCCUUUUCCGUUCCGCCUGCGACCCCUUUAGAAUUAAAAUUCCGCUGGAAUUGGUGUGCUUGAAUGUAGAUUGGGAAGUGCGAGAGAGCAGCCCCCGUUCUAACCAAAUUUCCUUCUUUCUCUAUUAAGCAAGUCCCCAUUCUAUUCGGCUGGCGUAUAGGUAUAACGGCAUAAUAUUUCCAGAAGAUACUGCUCACUUCCUUNNNNNNNNNNNNNNNNNNNNNNNNNNNNNNNNNNNNNNNNNNNNNNNNNNNNNNNNNNNNNNNNNNNNNNNNNNNNNNNNNNNNNNNNNNNNNNNNNNNNNNNNNNNNNNNNNNNNNNNNNNNNNNNNNNNNNNNNNNNNNNNNNNNNNNNNNNNNNNNNNNNNNNNNNNNNNNNNNNNNNNNNNNNNNNNNNNNNNNNNNNNNNNNNNNNNNNNNNNNNNNNNNNNNNNNNNNNNNNNNNNNNNNNNNNNNNNNNNNNNNNNNNNNNNNNNNNNNNNNNNNNNNNNNNNNNNNNNNNNNNNNNNNNNNNNNNNNNNNNNNNNNNNNNNNNNNNNNNNNNNNNNNNNNNNNNNNNNNNNNNNNNNNNNNNNNNNNNNNNNNNNNNNNNNNNNNNNNNNNNNNNNNNNNNNNNNNNNNNNNNNNNNNNNNNNNNNNNNNNNNNNNNNNNNNNNNNNNNNNNNNNNNNNNNNNNNNNNNNNNNNNNNNNNNNNNNNNNNNNNNNNNNNNNNNNNNNNNNNNNNNNNNNNNNNNNNNNNNNNNNNNNNNNNNNNNNNNNNNNNNNNNNNNNNNNNNNNNNNNNNNNNNNNNNNNNNNNNNNNNNNNNNNNNNNNNNNNNNNNNNNNNNNNNNNNNNNNNNNNNNNNNNNNNNNNNNNUUUCCCCCUCUCCUUAGUGUAUAGAAUUACUUCAUUACAUGUUUAGUACUCUAUACUUGUGUAAUUAUCCUCCUAUGUGUUGGUAUAUAUAUGGUAUUUGUAAAAGCAAUUUUGGUGAAUCCUUCUCUUAGUCAGCUGAAGUCAAUUGUGUCAUUUAAGCUCACAAGUAAUGCAUUGAUGUUACAUAGCUCCUNNNNNNNNNNNNNNNNNNNNNNNNNNNNNNNNNNNNNNNNNNNNNNNNNNNNNNNNNNNNNNNNNNNNNNNNNNNNNNNNNNNNNNNNNNNNNNNNNNNNNNNNNNNNNNNNNNNNNNNNNNNNNNNNNNNNNNNNNNNNNNNNNNNNNNNNNNNNNNNNNNNNNNNNNNNNNNNNNNNNNNNNNNNNNNNNNNNNNNNNNNNNNNNNNNNNNNNNNNNNNNNNNNNNNNNNNNNNNNNNNNNNNNNNNNNNNNNNNNNNNNNNNNNNNNNNNNNNNNNNNNNNNNNNNNNNNNNNNNNNNNNNNNNNNNNNNNNNNNNNNNNNNNNNNNNNNNNNNNNNNNNNNNNNNNNNNNNNNNNNNNNNNNNNNNNNNNNNNNNNNNNNNNNNNNNNNNNNNNNNNNNNNNNNNNNNNNGUAACAUACAUGAUCCCACAAGAUUUAACAAAGGUGGUCUUCUGUUCUGAUUUAUGCACAUAUAUUGAUACUUGGUUUCAUUCAAACUCUUAAUUUAUAUAUGUUAUUGCCUUACAUAUUUAGUUCAUUUUCUCGUACUGACGUCCCUCACGGGGGACGCUGUAUUUCAUGCUGCACGCAUAUGUACUUCAGCUAGUAGACCUCUUUGGUAAGAGCACACGACACUCAACUACUUUUGGUGAGCUCCAGAUUGAUUCGGAGCUUUACUGAUUCUUUGGUAGAUUCAUUUUGGGUAUUGUAUCGUAGUUAAGAGUAAGGCAGAGUCUGUCCCGACCUACUCAAAGGUUUUCUAUCUUUUAGAGGCUUUGUAGACUUAUGUUUAUGGUUCAGUUGUGUCUUAACAAGUUGUGGCCUCAACGGCCAAGUCUUGUAUAUAAGUUUUGAGUCUACUUAUGUUGGUUCGUAUCACUGCAUCCUAUGUGAACUUGUCACAAGAUUGUCAUACUUAUAUGCAUAGUAAGCACACGUUACAUGUUGGUUCUCUCGGGCCUAGAGGGCAUCUGGUGCCUGUCCGUCUUAAUAGGAUUUGGGACGUGACAAAAGUUGUAUCAGAGCAGGUCAUCCUAGGGAGUCUACAAAGCCGUGUCUUUGUAGAGUACUUCUUAUGGAUGUGUUGUGCACCACAUUUAUAAACAUGAGGCUACGGGACACGUAGGAGUUGUCUCCUUUCUUUCAUUUCUUAGAUCGUGCGAUAGAACCAGUGUUGUAGGCGAAUCAUAUCUAAUUCCUAAAUUGUUUAUUAUAGCAAGGAUGCCGGUUACGAGAAGGAGCAAAAGUACUGGUAAGCGAGUAGGUGUGGCUGCCUGAGAAGGGACCAGCCAACCACCACCUACUCAAGCUGUACAAGGUGAGGCUCAAGAUGAGUCUCCCUCACAGAUUUCCCCGACCCCUCCAUCUCCAGAAGAUCUAAGGAGGGAAGCUGCACUUCAAGAACCCCCUAUUAAUGCUACCGAGCAAGAAUUGAAGAAUGCGGUCCAAUUAUUGACUCGUAUAGUUGCUGGCCACGGUCAAAGGCAAGAAGGUCCAGUUACAGGUACUAGUGGUGUAGAUAGAGCAGCUGGCACGCGGAUACGUGAUUUCCUUAAUUUGGACCCUCCAUCAUUCAUCGGGGCAGAUCCUAAUGAAGAUCCACAAGACUUUAUAGAUCAGAUCCAACACACUUUCGAUGUUAUGCAUGUAAGUGGUAAAGAAGCGCUCGAGCUAGCAGCAUAUAGACUAAAGGGUGUGGUUGUAUUGUGGUAUGAAGCUUGGAAGAAAUCCAGGGGAACAGAUGCACCAUCAGCUACAUGGAAAGAGUUCAAAAAGGCAUUCCUUGACCAUUACCUGCCAUUGGAGAUCCGAGAGGCCCGUGCGGAUCAAUUUUUACAUCUCCACCAAGGAAGUAUGAGUGUGAGAGAGUACAUUCUCAAAUUUAAUUCCUUGGCCAGGUAUGCUCCUAAUGUAGUAGCUACUAUGGGGGAUAGAGUUCAUCGAUAUGUGGAUAAAUUAGAUUCAUAUCUGGUUAGAGACUGUACCAUUGCUUCGUUGAAUAAAGAUAUGGAUAUAGCAAGGAUGCUUUGCGCAAAAGUUGGGGGAUCAAAGUCAAAGAAGAAGGACACAAGAGUCAGAAACAGGGCAUAAUAAGAGGGCCAAAUCCAUGGGGUAGUUUACACCAUCCCAAGGUGAGUUUAGGCCUCGGUUCUUUAACAGACCCCCUAGGCCAUCAUCUUCCUACUCCACAGCUAGUGCCCCACCUCAGUUUCAAGAGUCUAGGGGCAAUCAGUUUGGGCAAAGAGGUGAAAGCCAAGGUUCACGAACAACGGGGUACCAAGAACAGGGAAGUAUGAGCCAAUCAAGACCUCCUCGACAGUCUUGUAAACAAUUUGGAAGAAAUCAUUUAGGUGCAUGUCGGUUUGGGACAAAUGUUUAUUUUUGGUGUGGUACACCAGGUCAUAUGAUGAGAAAUUGCCCUCAUAGGGGUGUGGGUGGUGUGGCACAACCUACUAGAUCAAUUCUUGCAUUCUCAUCAUCAACACCUUCUUUAGGUAGGGGAAAAAUGCCUAGUGGUCGUGGUAUAGGAGCAACCAGUUCUAGUGGAGUUCAGAAUCGCACAUAUGCUCUCGGGGAUCGACAAAAUUUAGAAGCCUCACCGGAUGUGGUUACAGGUACAUUGUUCAUCUUUUCACAUAUUGUAUAUGUAUUAAUUGAUCCGGGGUCUACACUAUCAUAUGUUACUCCAUUGAUUGCUGAAAAGUUCAGAAGAACAGUAGAAUUAUUAGUGAAGCCAUUUGAAGUGUCUAUACCGAUUGGUGAGUCUAUUAUAGCUUGAAGGGUUUAUCGUAAUUGUAUUGUAACUGUUUGUGAUCGUGAUACAUUGGCUGACCUUGUUGAGCUAGAAAUGGUGGAUUUUGAUGUUAUAAUGGGUAUGGAUUGGUUAGCUUCUUGUUAUGCCACGGUCGAUUGCCGAACUAAGAUGCUGCAUUUCCAUUUUCCAAAAAGAUGUCGUCCUUGAAUGGAAAGGUAAUAUUGGGACACCAAGAGGUAAAUUUAUUUCUUAUCUUAAAGGCAAAGAAGAUGAUGUCCAAAUGAUACAUAUGUCAUCUAGUGAGAGUGAAGAAUAUAGAUGUUGAGCCACUAUCUCUUCAAUCAAUUCCAGUGGUAAAUGAAUUUCCUGAUGUAUUUCCUGAAGAUCUUCCGGGUUUACCUCCAGAAUGAGAAGUAGAGUUUGGUAUUGAUGUGAUUCCAGAUACUCAACCUAUAUCCAUCCCUCCAUAUAGAAUGGCCCUGGCAGAAUUACGGGAGUUGAAGGAGCAAUUAAAAGACUUAUUAGAUAAAGGAUUCAUAAGGCCUAGUAUGUCCACAUAAGGAGCACCAAUUUUAUUUGUACGUAAGAAAGAUGGCUCGUUAAGAAUGUGUAUCGACUACCGACAGUUGAAUAAGGUAACGAUUAAGAACAAAUAUCCCCUCCCUAGAAUUGAUGAUUUGUUUGAUCAGUUACAAGGUGCUAGGUGUUUUUCAAAAAUCGACAUGAGGUCAGGUUAUCACCAAGUGAGGUUCAAAGACAAAGAUAUACCCAAGACAGCUUUCCGAACACGGUAUGGUCAUUUUGAGUUUUUAGUCUUGUCAUUCGGGCUAACGAAUGCACCAACAGUUUUUUAUGGAUUUGAUGAAUAGGGUGUUCAAGCCAUUUUUAGAUGUGUUCGUGAUAGUAUUCAUAGAUGACAUUUUGGUGUAUUCAAGAUCGGAAGAGGUCCAUGCUAAUCACCUGCGGCAGGUUUUACAAAUUCUUCGUGAUCGUAAGUUGUAUGCAAAGUUCUCUAAAUGUGAGUUCUGGUUAAAAUCUGUGACAUUCUUAGGUCAUAUUGUAUCCGAUGAAGGAAUAAGGGUUGAUAACCAGAAGAUAGAAGCCGUGAAAAACUGGCCAAGACCUACAAUGCCUACGGAGAUCCGUAGUUUCCUUGGAUUGGCAAGUUAUUACAGAAGGUUCGUUGAAUGAUUCUCUUCCAUUGCUGCACCCUUAACAAAGCUAACACACAAAGAAAACAAAUUUCAAUGGAGUGAUGAAAGUGAAAGAAGCUUCCAAGAGCUGAGGAAUAAAUUAACUUCUACACCUGUAUUGGUACUUCCAGAAGGAACAGAAGGGUAUGCAGUGUAUUGCGAUGCUUCAGGAAUGGGCCUAGGAUGUGUAUUGAUGCAACAUGGUAAAGUAAUAGCUUAUGGUUCAAGGCAGUUGCGGCCACAUGAGAAAAAUUAUCCAACCCAUGAUCUAAAGCUAGCAGCAGUUGUCUUUGCUUCGAAGAUAUGACGCCACUACUUAUAUGGAGUUCAUGUUGACAUAUACACUGAUCACAAGAGUUUGCAAUAAAUCUUUUGGGCCUAGGAUGUGUAUUGAUGCAGCAUGGUAAAGUAAUAGCUUAUGGCUCAAGGCAGCUGCGGUCACAUGAGAAAAAUUAUCCAACUCAUGAUCUAGAGCUAGCAGCAGUUGUAUUUGCUUUGAAGAUAUGAUGCCACUACUUGUAUGGAAUUCAUGUUGAACUAUACACUGAUCACAAGAGUUUGCAAUAUAUCUUUAAGUAAAAGGACCUAAAUCUGAGGCAGCGAAGAUCGGUGGAGCUAUUAAAAGAUUAUGACAUGGAUAUCUUGUAUUAUCCCGGGAAAGCAAAUGUAGUAGCUGAUGCGUUAAGUCGUAAAAUAAUGGCAAGCACUUAUGGGCAGUCUGUGGAAAGACAAGGAAUAACUAAGGAUCUAUGUCAACUAGCUAGCUUGGGGGUUCACCUUUUUGAAUCUCCAGACGAAGGGGUUAAUGUGCAAAAUGCGGCAGAAUCCUCAUUAGUAGUGGAAGUGAAAGAGAAGCAGUACACUGAUCCUAUUCUAUUAAAGUUUAAGGAGAAUGUACAAUAGGGUAUGACAAAGGCAUUUGAGCUUACGUAAGAGGGAGUACUUCGAUGUCAAAACAGAUUGUGUGUACCUAAUGUAGAUGAAUUAAGACAGAGAAUUAUGAUGGAAACACAUCAUUCGAGAUAUUCUGUCCAUCUGGGGUCAACUAAAAUGUAUCAUUUCUUGAAAGAAAUGUAUUGGUGGGGGGAAAUGAAGAAGAACAUUGCAGAAUUUGUGGCUCAAUGUCCAAAUUGUCAACAAGUAAAAGUAGAGCACCAAAAACCCGGAGGUUAUCUACAAUGUAUAGAACUUCCAAUUUGGAAGUGGGACAUGAUCAACAUGGAUUUUGUCACUGGUUUACCUCGUUCAUUUCGGAAGUUUGAUUCUAUAUGGGUAAUUGUUGAUAGAUUGACCAAAUCAGCGCACUUCUUGCCGGUCAAGACUACUUAUACAGUCGAAAAAUAUGCGAGGUUGUAUAUUAAAGAGAUAGUUCGUCUACAUGGAGUGCCAAUCUCUAUUAUAUCGGAUCGGGGAGCUCAAUUCACUGCAAAAUUUUUGGAAGUCAUUUCAGAAGAGUUUAGGAACACAAGUGAAUUUAAGUACAUCCUUUCAUCCUCAAAUAGACGGUUAGGCAGAGCGUACAAUUCAAACACUUGAGGAUAUACUGCGAGCUUGUAUAUUGGACUUCAAAGUUAAUUGGGAUGAUCAUUUGCCAUUGAUCGAGUUUGCAUACAACAAUAGCUACCAUUCAAGCAUUAAAAUGGCACCUUAUGAAGCUUUAUAUGGUAGAAAAUGUAGAUCCCCAAUUGGCUUGUUCGAAAAAGUAAAACUGCCUUAUUUGGGCCAGAUCUUGUUCAUCAAGCUAUGGAAAAAGUCAAAGUGAUACAGUAGCGGCUAGAAACAGCUCAAAGUUGACAUAAAUCAUAUGCGGAUGUUAGAAGGAGAGGACUAGAAUUUUCUAUAGGGGAUUGGGUGUUCUUGAAGGUGUCACCAAUGAAAGGGGUAAUGAGGUUUGGUAAAAAGGGAAAGUUGAGUCCACGCUAUAUAGGGCCAUAUAAGGUUAUUCGAAGAAUUGGCCAAGUUGCAUAUGAGUUAGAGUUACCUCAAGGGCUAUCAACUGUUCAUCCGGUGUUUCAUGUAUCAAUGCUUUGAAAAUGCGUAGGUAACCCAUCUCGUAUUACUGCUACUAAAGAUGUACAAGUUACGAGAGAUCUCACUUAUGAAGAAGUACCCAUUGCUAUUCUUGAUCGACAAGUUAGGAAGUUAAGAAAUAAAUAAGUAGCUUCUGUAAAAAUAUUAUGGAGGAACCAACAAGUAGAAGAAGUUAUAUGGGAAGCGGAAGAGGCAAUGAAAUUGAAGUAUCAUCAUCUCUUCCAAACCGAUGAGAAAGAUUAAAAUGAUGAGUUGAGGCGUUAACAAGUAAGUAUAAGUCUAUAAUUUCAAUGUGAUUAACAGUAGUACUAACUUAGGCUUGAACUUGUUUGGGCUGGAUAAUCAUGCUAACAUUCGAGGACGAAUGUUUUAAGGGGGGAAGGAUGUAACAACCCGUAUUAUGCAUAUGCUUAUUCUAUUCUUGUGAUACUUGAUAUAGCCUUAUAGUAUAGGUGAGGGACCAUAUUUCUUAUAUGAUUAGCGUUGGUUUAAACUAGCUCGGAAAGUGAUGUGAAGCCUUGCACGUUGCAGUAUGUGUACUGCAAGUUAUCACUCCAACGGAAGUAUUUAAACUCGAGAUGGGAAGGUGGUAAUUGAGCUUAAAGUUGAAAGUUAAGUGCUAAGUUAAAGAAAAAGAGAUUAAUAAUAAGAGAAUUGAAUAAAAUAGGUGAGCUGCUUGCUUGACUUAACUAAGCUAGUAGGUGACAAGUAGGUGCAUCACCUACUUUGACUUAUUGACCAGUCCAAAGAACCAAGUAGGUGCAAUAACUACUUGAGCUAUAUGGAUCUAGUUAAAAUGGCCAAGGUUUAUGGAUCAGAUUUGGGCCUAUGCUAAUGGACUCACUUGAGGCCCAAACUAAGUUAAAUAAAAGGAAAAUGAAAUUNNNNNNNNNNNNNNNNNNNNNNNNNNNNNNNNNNNNNNNNNNNNNNNNNNNNNNNNNNNNUUAUAAGGAGAAGUUGCAGAAAUUGAGGUAAGGUGACUGCUCCAUUUUCUUCCUCUUUAUGUAUGAGUUUGAGUGAGGAAUUAUGGGUGUGCUGUCAUAAAAGAACUCAAGGGGUGGUGAGUUCAAUAAUUGAUUAUAUGAUAAAGAAUAUUUAAGGAUGUUUUAUGUGUAUUGUUGUUGGUACAGCUUAGGAAAUCUUGGAAAAUGAUAUAUAAUGUAUGUAUUGGGCAAAGAAGGAGGGUGUGGUGAUACACUUUGUUUUAAGGGCUAUAUGAGCUCAUUUUCCGUCAAAGUUAGCUACUGUUUUACGAGGCUCGUGGUGUGAUAGCUGCUAAUUUAAGUUUAUUAUGACUUAUACUGUAGAUUAAAACCUGAAAGGGGAGGCUGAAUCGUGAUAGUUGUAUUGAUCAGAAGAUAAGAUAGUGAUUAGGAAAACAUGUUAUUCAUGCUCAAGUAUAGGUAUAACGGCAUAAUAUUUCCAGAAGCUACUGCUCAGNNNNNNNNNNNNNNNNNNNNNNNNNNNNNAUACUUGCGAUUAAUAUCAAUAAGUGAAUUUCCUAAGUUCUAUUCCUAGUAAAGGAAACAUAGUGGCAGCGUAUGAUCUCCAAAUAGCUAUCAAUAUUUUCCCCUCUCCUUAGUGUAUAGAAUUACUUCAUUACAUGUUUAGUACUCUAUACUUGUGUAAUUAUCCUCUUAUGUGUUGGUAUAGAUAUGGUAUUUGUAAAAGCAAGUUUGGUGAAUCCUCUUCUUAGUCAGCUGAAGUCAAUUGUGUCAUUUAAGCUCACAAGUAAUGCAUUGAUGUUACAUAGCUCCUUAUGUCAUUGUUACUGCCUUGAAGUAUUAUUUUCAUGUCUUCUACUACUGGUCCAUAGUUCCAAAUAUAAAAAUGAUUAUGACCAACAAAACAACAAUCUCAAAGAUUAAAGAUUCUAAGUAAAGAAAUCUGUAUAAUAAGGAUGGCAGCUCAGGGGCGGAAGCCUAGCCUGGGCCAAUCCCAAUUGGUAUAGAAGGGUGGCAGCUCAGGGGUGAAAGCCUAGCAUAGGNNNNNNNNNNNNNNNNNNNNNNNNNNNNNNNNNNNNNNNNNNNNNNNNNNNNNNNNNNNNNNNNNNNNNNNNNNNNNNNNNNNNNNNNNNNNNNNNNNNNNNNNNNNNNNNNNNNNNNNNNNNNNNNNNNNNNNNNNNNNNNNNNNNNNNNNNNNNNNNNNNNNNNNNNNNNNNNNNNNNNNNNNNNNNNNNNNNNNNNNNNNNNNNNNNNNNNNNNNNNNNNNNNNNNNNNNNNNNNNNNNNNNNNNNNNNNNNNNNNNNNNNNNNNNNNNNNNNNNNNNNNNNNNNNNNNNNNNNNNNNNNNNNNNNNNNNNNNNNNNNNNNNNNNNNNNNNNNNNNNNNNNNNNNNNNNNNNNNNNNNNNNNNNNNNNNNNNNNNNNNNNNNNNNNNNNNNNNNNNNNNNNNNNNNNNNNNNNNNNNNNNNNNNNNNNNNNNNNNNNNNNNNNNNNNNNNNNNNNNNNNNNNNNNNNNNNNNNNNNNNNNNNNNNNNNNNNNNNNNNNNNNNNNNNNNNNNNNNNNNNNGUACUCCCGCUAGUAGACCUCCUCAGUAGGAGCAUACGACACUCAGCUACUUUUGGUGAGCUCCAGAUUGAUUCGUAACUUUACUGAGUCUUUGGUAGAUUCAUUUUGGGUAUUGUAUCGUAGUUCAGAGUAAGGCGGGGUCUGUCCCGACCUACUCAAAGGUUUUCUAUCUUUUAGAGGCUUUGUAGACUUAUGUUUAUGGUUCAGUUGCGUCUUAACAAGUUGUGGCCUCAACGGCCAAGUCUUGUAUAUAAGUUUUGGGUCUACUUAUGUUGGUUCGUAUCGCUGCAUCCUAUGUGAACUUGUCACAAGAUUGUCAUAGUUAUAUGCAUAGUAAUCACUUUUUACAUGUUGGCUCUCUCGGGCCUAGAGGGCAUCGGGUGCCUGUCCGUCUUAAUGGGAUUUGGGACGUGACACUGAGCAACACCCCCAGGCCUUAUCAUAAAUAAAAGAAAAAGUACAAGGAGGGGGACAUAAACCUAACCUCUGGACCUAUGGUGGCUCAGUAGUCGACCUUCCACUAGGGCUAGUCAACUCAUCCUCUUACAAAAGGAUAAACCAAGAAACUAAGUACCUAAAAGAGAGGACUUCUCUCAAUACAUAGAAUCUAGGAAUCAUAAACAAGAGAGACUCUCCCUUUACAAAAGUAAACAAAAAACUAUACCUAUUCAAAGGAGCUAUAAUAUUUAACCAUAGCUAAGUUGAAAAGGUUGCAUUUUACUUAGGGUGUUCUUUGAUCUUUUUAAUCUUCCUUCGUCUGAAACUUGCCAUUUCAUGCAUGUGUAGUUGAUAGUAAGCUCUUGCUUCCUUUGGUAGUUGAUGACUAUUGAAAUAAAGUUGAGGGCUAGUGAUUUUGUGGCUGUGUUUUGAAAGGGAAUCAACAACAAAAUUGGCUUCUCUGAAGGUGUGUUUGAAUCUAAACUCGUGUGCUUGUUUAAUGAGAGCUUGUAGCUUCAAUAUUUGUGUAUUGAUACUCCAAUGAGGGUUGGCUUUGUGCAUUAUCCAGUCCACCAGAAGCUGUGAUUCCACCUCCAAAAGAACUUUCCUGUAUCCUAAUUCUAAGGACUAGGUCAUCCCAAAUAUAACUGCUUCUACUUCAGCUUGGUUGUUAGUACCUUCCCCUAAUGGAGUGGCAAAUUCUAUCAAUAUUUCUUCGUCUUGAUCCCUUAAUAUACCUCCUGCUCCAGUUCUGCCAGGAUUAGCUAAUGCACUGCCAUCCGUGUUGAUUUUUACCCACUGAUUUGGAGGUUUUAUCCACCUAACAAGGGUUACUUUGGUAUCAUGCACACAUUUUCCCCCAAGCUGAAUCAGGUCCCUCCAGUUCGAAGGCCAUUUUAUGUGAGGGAAGGUUGUAGUCAUGAGCUUGUAAUUGUCCUUAUAGAUUGCAUAUUUGACUCUACUAACAUUGGAUUGCUUGCCUCCAUAUUUGCUAGAACAUCUAUUCUUCCAUAGGUUCCAACAAAUGAAUAUUGGUGUAGCUUGUAAUAACAGCCUAUGUGCUUCAUUAUUGUAUUUGGCUGACCACCAUUGCAUGAUGAAUUGAAGUAGGGAGCUGUGAUCUGUGAUAAUUCCAGCAUUUGCAGCAAAGCUUUUCCACACGUAACACGUAGGUAGCAAAGUGACCAUUGUUGAAGGUGUGCUCGAUUGUAUCCAUACCUGGCCUGUUACAACAACAAAAACAACUGGCUGGUUCACUACCAAAACUGGUUAGUUUCCAGAUCGCCUGGUCUGGGAGAUCUUGCUGAAUGUGAAGCUCUGUGGAUAUUAUGUUGGUUAAUUGACUACUGGGUGCCUGUUGGAUGAGCAUACUCCAGUUCCACUGUCCCUCAUGCCAAAAUUCUGCUACAGUAGUAUUGUUGAAUCUAUUACUGUCAGCAGAGAAUUAAGCAAGAGGUCCAACACCAAGCCAAUUAUCCCACCAAAAGGAGCAAAUGCCCGAGUUGAGUUUCCAUUGAAUGUGUGAUUCCACUUUGUGUUUGUUGUGCAUUCGAUGUUUCCAAGUCAAAGAUUCACCUGUAUCCCAUUUUUUACUAAUAGGAUUAGAUAUUUGACAAUACUUGGCCCUUAAAAAAUCUCCCCAAAAUGUUCGUUUGGAUCUAAAAAUCCACCAUUGUUUAUAUUGGAAUGACUUGCAAACAUCUUUGAGAUUCCUCAUACCAACACCUCCCUCAUCAUAAGGAAAGCUUAAAUUCUUCCAUGACGCCUAAUGAUAUUUUUUCCUCUCAUUCCUCCAUCCCCAGAAAAAGUCUGCCAUGAUACAUUGAAUCUGUUUAAGGACAGUAACUGGUGGAGUCACUGCUGAAAGGAGAUAUAUAGGUAAUGACUGCACUACAUGCUUGAUGAGGACUAAUUUACCACCAUAGCUCAAUAAUUUUAUUUGCCAACCUGUAAUCCUGCACAACACUUUUUUAAUAAGAUCAGAAAAAUAUAUAAUCCUAGGUCAACCAACAAAUAAAGGACAACCAAGGUAAGUGAUAGGGCCCUCCUUAUGUUUGAAACCAGUGAUUCUUUUGAUUCUAUCCCUUGUGCUAUUGAAUGCAUUAGUGUGGAUCAUAAAGUGACUCUUGUCUAUGUUAACAAGUUGGCCUAAAGUCUCCUCAUAAGACUUCAAAGUUUGCAUAAUGAGGUUUAGAUUUCUUUGUCUUCCAGAAGUGAAGAGAAUGAUAUCGUCUGCAAAACUUAAGUGAUUCACUUGGGGACCUCUGGAUUCCAUGAAGAAACCAUGAUAAUCCAGAUUGUUGUGGAGACUGUUCAGAGAUCUAGAAAGGGCCUCCGCACCUAAAAUAAAUAGGGCGGGAGAUAACGAAUCCCCUUUCUUGAGACCUCUAGUGGAAUGAAAAAAACCAUAUCUUUUGCGAUUGAUUAUAAUUGAGUACCAAUUAUUAGCCAUAAUCCUCCAAACCAUGUCAAUAAAGACUUCUUCAAACCCCAUUCUUCUCAGGACCAAGCAUAUAUAGGACCAAGAAACCCUAUCUUAUGCUUUAGCCAUAUCCAACUUAAUGAUCACAUUGCUCCCAAUAUUAGGCUUCUUAAUCUGGUGAAUAAUCUCUUGGGCCAACAUAAUGUUUUCUGAUAUGCUCCCUUUGACAAAUCCAGAUUGGUUGAGGGAAAUCAAACUAGGUAGAAUAGGACCAAGUUUGUAGCUCAAUAGUUUAGAAAUGAUUUUGCUAGUGAAAUUACUUAAACUAAUGGGUCUGAACUCAGUGAAUUUGUUUGGAUUGUUCACUUUAGGAAGGAAGACAAUGCAAGAGUGAGAAAAAUAUUUAGGGAUCAUUUGGCCAUAGAAGAAAGCUUGAAUGACACCAAAGAGGUCAUGCUUAAUUAUAUGCCAACAUUUCUGAAAAAAAUAGCCAUUCAUCCCAUCAGGACCAGCUGUUGAAUUAGGAUUCAUAGAGAAAACCACUUUCUUCAACUCUUCUAGAGUGGGCAUGGUAGUAAGACUAUUAUUUUGCACUUGGUUGACUAUCCUAGGGAUACAAUUGAUAGCAUUCUCAUUGAUAACCUUAUCCACACCUGUAAAAAUAUUUUGGAAAUGCUCACAAGCAGCCUUUGCAUUUUUUCAUCUCCCUGUAUCCAUUCCCCAUUAUCCCUGGUAAUUUUGUGAAUAAACAAUUUUCUUAUCCUGCCUCUUAUCAGUGAGUGAAAAGAUUUGGUGUUAGCAUCACCUUCCUUGAACCACUGUAAUUGAGUUUUCUGUUUCAAAAUGGAGUCCUCCAUUUUCAAAAAUCUGAUGUACUCUGCAUUUAAUUCAUGAAGUGUUGCUCUAUUAUUUUCAUUGUGAUCUUGAAUAAGAUGCUCUUCAGCAACCCUGACCUUCUCCACAUAGUCCUUGACCUUAGAGAAAAUAUCACCAAAUUCCCUUCUCGACCAAGAGCUAAGAGUAUUGGACAGCCUUUUCAAUUUUUGAUGAAAUCUCCACAUGUUGUUACCCUCCACAGUUCUUUCCCAGCAAGCUUUAACAGUGUCAAGAAAGUUAGGUUGGUCAGUCCAGCAAUUGAGAAAUUUAAAGUAUCUGAUUUGAUCCUCUUCUCUAGCAACCAUUUCCAUCAGUAAGGGACAGUGGUCUGAUCCUACUGAUGAUAGAUGGGUAAUGGUAGUUUGAGGCAUUUUUUCCAACCAAGCAUCAUUAAUAAGGGCUCUGUCUAGCCUUUUCCAAAUUCUGUGAUGAAUACCCCUUUUAUUAGACCAAGUAAACUUCUGCCCACUGAAGCCUAAAUCCAUGAGUACACAAGCUUCAAUCAAAACAAUGAACUCUAGACUCUUCCUCAUGUUAUAAGGUACUCCUCCUAGCUUUUCCUCAAUGGAAGUAAUAACAUUGUAGUCACCUACUGAACACCAAGGAUGGUCCUUGCAUUUGGCAUACACAAAGGUAAAGGUGAAAUGAGUCUGAAGUUCAUUAUGGCCAAUGUCACAAGUUAUUUGUUGUUCAUCCUCCUCUAGUACUACACAGUCAAUGUCUAUAUUCCAAAAGAGCCAAAUUUUUCAAUUGCAAUUACUUACAGCCUGAUCCAUAGCUAAUUGAUUUUUAAAACUUUGAACAUGGAUAGUGUCUGAGAAAGGUUCCAAGAUGGCAAUGAUAGAAAGAUGGUGCAUCUUCUUGAGAAUUUUGAGUCUUUCCAAAACUCCUUGAGUAUUGAUCCCCCUUACAUUCCAAAUAAGUGUACUAAUCAUUGAGAUGAUCUGGAAGUAAAGAGCCUAGUGUUUGGUCUGCCAGCAAUGACAGUGUUAGUGUCUUGAAUUUUGAAGUGGAAUCUAUCAUGGUGUAUUCCUCUGGGAGAUAAUCCUUGAGUUUUAGCCACCUGUUGAAUCUCAUCCUCAAGGCCUUUAUCAUGGUGUGGACUAAAAGCUCUAAUCAGCAACUCACUAGUCUCAUCAUCCUCAUCAAGAUCCUUUAGGGAUUGAUUAUCCCCAUUAAUUUCAUCUUCUGAGUUGUCCAUAACAUAUUCAUCAAUCAUAGGACUUCUGUUAACCUGGCACUUUUCAGACAUUUUAUCAGGAGGGACAUUGUGAGGAGGGGUCAUGUAUUGUGCCUGUAAGGGAGUAAUAUACAUGCCCAUAUGUUCAUCUACCAUAAUAAACUUCUUACAAGCUUCCCCAAUCGUUUGUUGUUCCCUCUGCUGAUCACUAUCCUAUUGUGUGUUCUGUAUCUUUUUUGUUGUUUCUUUUUUUUUCCGCUAGGUUUGUUCUUACUUAUGGGAGUGUUUCCUUGUUUUCUAGUACUUGCAUUGGAUCCCAUAUCUUUUGCCAUCGAUCCCUUGUUUUGUUUACCUGUUGUUCCUCCCUCCACUUACUAUUUUUCCCUGUUAUUUUUUGUAUUAUCCUGAUUCUUUGCCCCUGUUUGUUCUUGUUGUUGCACCUUUUGAUGGUUUAGACUAUGUUGUUGGCCUGUAGUGGUAGCAAAAGUUCUAAGGUCUGAACUAUGGUCAAUGUGAGUACCCUCAUGCAGAACAUGAGACAAAUUGCCCCAUUUGGACACCCUUUCGUGCAUGUUAUUUUGUCUCUCCUGACAUUCCCCAUCCAUCCCUCCUUCAACUUCAAUAAGACCAUCAAGAUAGGGAAUAAUGAGGAUUGUGGGAAUUGAGAGCAUUGAGUCAAUACUUGUGCCCUUGUUAUUUACUUUGUUUCCUGUUUGGCUGACCUGAGUUCUUUAAGUAUGAUCAGUUUUAGAUCUGUUUUGUGCUCCUUGUACUGAUGUCCCUACAUCACUGUUAGGCUCCUGCAUGUCUGCAUUUUGUUUUUCCUGCAUGGUAAGAUUAGUAUAAGAGUUAUGACUAGAGAUGUUAGUUGUACCUGUUUGUUGAGUUGUGUGUUGUGGUUGCUUUUUUGUCAGCCUGUUCUGAGGUGAAGUUGGCCUCUAUACUGUUUUAUGUAUUUUUUCUUCCUGUGGUUUAUUGUUUCUCCUUUUAUGUACUUGCCAUUCCUCUUCUUUUUGUUGUUCAGGUUGUUGUUGAUUGCUUCCUUCCUUGUUGUUUUGCUGUUGCUGCUCCUCUUGUUCCUUUAUCCUAGUUUAUCUGUUUUUAUUCCCUUGUUGUCCCUGCUCUCUUUUAUUUAUGCUUUUCUUUUCUGUUUCUAACUCCUUCCUUUUGUUGAAUUCUUCAUCCCUUAUUUUGAAAUUAUAUUCAUCUAUCAUGUGACCUUGAUGCCUGCAGUAUGAACAUUAUAGGGGGAUAUUUUCAUAUUCGAUUGGUUGCCAUCUCCCUAUGGUGAGAUCCUCAUCAUCCAAACCAAUCCAAACAUGUCUAGGUCUUGUCUUGGUAAGGUCCACUUGAACUUUUACCUUGGCCAUGCUGGCUCUUGUUCUUUUAAUGGAUGUUGUGUCUAGGUAUAGAACUUUACCCACAGACUCAAGCAGAGGGGUUUCCUCCUUAGGUCGAAAAUUAGGAGUCCAAGUUUGUAUUCUCAUAAGCUUGCCCUCAAUGGUCAUUCUUUGUUGUGUCCACACAGUGUUGUAGUCAAGUUCAUUUUCCUAGUCAAUAAAAGCAUGCCUUGCAUUAUAAUGAGCUAUGUUAGCCCCCCCCCCCCCCAUUUAGUUGGGUUUGCAUAAUGAAACUUUUCCUGAUCAGCUCUACUUUAGGCAUGGUGGUACUGAACUUACCUAUCAGGGUGUAUUUACAAUCCACAGCCAGCUUAUUCAUGAAGUCAUUCAUAUCAUAAAUCACAGCAGGUUGGCCCUGUUUGGUUGUGUGUCGAGGAGGGACCAAUUCGAUGGGGGUUGCAUGAGCAGCAUGAAUUUGCCUAAGCCUUGCAGCCAGAGUUUGAACCACUGUAUAAGGUGCAGGUUCUGUAAUCUGAUCUUGUUUGGUGGUUUGAACCUCAUUAGUAUUGUUGAUACCUUUGGGCUGAUUGAGUUGGUUUAUUUGUUGGCUUUUCUGAUUAUGGGGUGUAUGUUUAUCAAAAUUACUGGAGAUUUUAGGGAAUGCCUUAUUAUAGCUAUUGGGAUCAAGAUUCCCAUCCAGAGUAAUCCUCCGAGACUGAUUCAUGUUUUUCUCAUUACUUUGUUCAGCCUACUGUUGGGAUUUACUGUCCCUCCUGCUCUGUUCCUGCUCACUCAACUUAACAGCCUCUUGCCCUUUUUCAUUAACAUGCACAUGACUAUCACUACUACUCAAGCUAGCAACAUUUUGAUUAGGAUUAGAGUUAGUAGACUUACCUGCUGGAGUGCUAUACUCACUUGGAUUUUUGGUUUGCGACUUGGUGCUUAUUGCCUGUUGCCCCUGUGUAUGAUCAUAAUCACAUUCAUUAAUAGAAUUGACACCCUUACCUGGCCUUUGCUUUCCUGUAUUGCUGGGAGUUGUAUCCACUGCUUUAACUCCAAAGGAAAAAUGUGAUGAGCUCUCCACAUCAACCACGUCCAAAGUUGUAGGCUUUGUAGGAUCAUGCUGAUCAUUUUGGCUCUUCCUUGUUUCAUUAUUUCCUUGUUCCAAUUGCUUUUCCAUCCCUUGCUCAUCCAUUGUGUGCUGGUCUUGUUUUUGACCAUUAGAGUUUGCAUGGUCAUGGGUAUAGGUCCACUGUUGUUUGUCUUCAGCUUUGUAUGUGAGCUCUUCAAGCUCAAAAUAUGGAUUGGUUAUAGUUCUAUCUAAGCUUGCCGGAAUUUCAUCAUGGGUCUGUUCCUGAACUAAAUUGAUGGAUAUAUUGGUAAGCUGGACCUCCUCAUCAGUAGAGUAGAUCUCCUUAGCGACGCCGCCAACAAAUUUCAAAUUUUCGACUGCUCGAUCACCAGAGUCCAUGUCGCCGGCGAUUGGACCAUCCAUUUUACUUGAAAUUGCAGUGAGAUGUACCUCUUCACCAGGUGAGUAAUCCCCCAAUGCUCAAAUCACCAUGAAAUUGCUGGGAAAUUGCUCGAAUUUGAGGGCGCAAUCCGGGCGAUACUGUGGUGAUUUUCCCAGAAAUGCCUCUCGAGAUCUCGCGAUUGGCAAGGUGGGAUUGUCUGAUUUUGUAGUAUGUUGUAGCCCUUGAUUAGUAGAAUCAUUCACACUUAACAUCUUUCCACGAAUCAACCUAUCGCGAUCUGGGGAAAUAAUUUUUUGAAUGCCAACCUUCUCUCUCAGGAAUCGCGCAGUUCAUCGCCUCAUUGAAUCGCGAAUUCAUGGAGUUGUAGGAUGAAUUAGAGGGUGAUUCUUGUUGGGUUUUGUUCUUCUGAUCAAGCCGCCCCUGUUGGGACUGGUCCGGCGGCCAGAAGGUCCCUACCGGUUGCUCACGCGCCAUUUCGGCGGUUCCCUUAACCGUUGGUACUGUAGCCGUUAGGCUUGGGGCUGGAGUGCUUAGUUUAGAGAGAUAUUUUUAGAGAGAGAAAAAAAUUGGGAAAUGAGGAAGCGAUGGGGUUUAUGGUUUAGGUUUUAGGGUUUAGAGUUUUGGGUUUAGGGGUUGGGUUUAGAGUUUAGGAUUUAGGGUUUAGGGUUAGGGUUUAGAGUUUAGGGUUUAGGGUUUAGGGCUUAGGAUUUAGGGUUUAGGGUUUUUUUUUGUUUAACGACCCUUGGGGGAGGGGGGUUCAGGGGCUUAGCAACACCCCCCAGGCCUUAGCAUAAAUAAAACAAACAACAAAAUACAAGGAGGGGGACAUAAACCUUACCUCCAAUCCUAUGGUGGUUCAGAAGUCUAUCAUCCUACUAAGGUCAAUCAACUCUUCCCCAAUACUAUAAAUUGAAACCUAGCUUCUAACAACCUGUGAGAGGACUCCUCUCGAUACAAAGAAACUAGGAAAGCAUAAAUAAGGGAGACUCUCCCUUUACAAGUGAUAACAAUAAAGGAAAAACCCUAUGCCCUAUAAUGGUCUUUCUUCAGACAGCCCUAACUCGUAGGUAAGAGAGAACUAUAGUGAAGAAAGCUCGGUGAUAUCAAAAAGGAGAAGAAAUAUCCAUGAUGGUAUGGUGUGGCCUUACACUGUAGUCAAAACAAUCAUCAAGGAGAUCAAGGCGGUUAUUUAAUUCUCUUAGUCUUCUUUCGUCUGAGGUUAGCCAAACCAAGCUUUUCCGUCAUGAGUAACCCUCUGAUAUGAAUAGGCAAAUCAUGAAUCCAGGUGAAGUGAGUAGCAGCAAGUGUGGUGUGGCUGUUUUUGGACAAUGCAUCAGCAACCGCAUUGCCCUCUCUGUAUAUGUGACGACACGAAAAGGUGUAAAACUGGCGAGUGAUGUCAUGAAGUCAAGCCGCUUCAAGCUCAUCCUGAUUGUUAGUCCCGACUCCCAGAGGACUAGCAAAAGCAUGUAUGAGGUCUCCAUUGCAAUCCCUAAGUAUGCCUUCUGCACCAAUUCUCCCAGGGUUGCCAAGAGCACUACCAUCGGUGUUGAGUUUGACUAGUCGAGGUGGCGGUCUAGACCAAGAAACUCUAGUAAUUCUGAUCUCAUGGAUGCAUAAAUCCACUUUAGCACACAAUUGUCCCCAUUCUGAAGGCCAAUGAAAGUAUGGAUAAGUCUUCUUCAAGAGCUUGUAGAUGUCGCUAGUGAUACCAAACUUCACCCUAAGCACAUUGGACUAUUUUGAUCCAUACUUUGCAGCACAUCUGUUCUUCCACAGGUUCCAACAAAUAAAGAUAGGAAGGGAUCUGAGAAUAAGUUGAUGAGGGCCAGUAUCAGUAGUCUGAGUCCACCAAUACACAAAGAGGUUCUUAAGGGAGUUCGGAACAUGUCUGAAGCCCAUCAAAAGAGAGAAAAAUGUCCAAACACCUCUAGCAAAGUUACCCGACACUAAAACAUGCUGGCCAUUUUCAUAACCAGGAGUACGGCAAGAAACACAAUCUGUGGUCACUUUCGGAUCAAAAGUAAAGACUCUAUCUGCAGUAGGAAGCUUAUUCCGCAAUGCUCUUCAUAAAGUAAAUGAGCAUUUAAAGGGGACAUGCUUCUGCCAGGUUCUCCUAUCAAUCAAAGAGGUAGGCUUCAUAACUCUAACCACUCUCUAAGAUGAAGAACAAGAGAAUAUGCCCGAAGUAGUGGCCUUUCAGUAAGGCUAAUCAGGUAUUUCAGGUUGAAAAUGAAUCUGCUGGCUAAGGAUCUGGGCAACUAAGUUUUGCGGGAGUUGAUGAUGAAGUCGGUUAAUCCUCCAUUGGCCAUGACAAAGAAAAUCAGAAAUAGUCACCCUGCUCGGUCUACCCGGCAAAGUCCUAUGAGUAGCAAGUGAACCAAUGCCAAGCCAAUUGUCCCAUCAAAAACUAGAAUUGCCCGAAUUUAUCUUCCAAAGUAUAUUUUCUUCAGCUAUUUGUUUGUUAGCCAUAAGAUUCGUCCAAGUAGAAGACUCACCAGAAUCAUACUUCUUUGAAACCGGGUGAGAGCGUUGGUAAUAUUUAGCUAGACGAAACUCCCUCCAAAGUGACUCUUUAGUCCUAAAAUUCCACCACUAUUUGAGUUCAAGGAAUUUGCAAACAUCACGGAUCUUUCUAAAACCAACCCCACCUUCUUCACAAGGAUUACAUAGAGUUUCUUUUCUUCCCAUAUUUCAUGCCCGAAUAGAAAUCCGCAGUCAACUUUUCAAUCUCAUUCAGGACAGUAGAAAGGGGAGAAACUGAACUAAUAAGGUGAAUAGGGAGAGACUGGAGAACAUGCUUAAUGAGAGUAGUUUUACCACCAUAACUAAGCAUUUUUGUUUGCCUACCAAAUAUCCUGCCCACUACUUUAGAGAUAAUGCUAGAGAAGUGUAAGAUCCUCUGCCUGCCAAUGUAAAGCGGACAACCAAGAUAAGUAAUCGGUGAAUCUUUCUGAUAAAACCCCAUGAUCACUUUUAUGAGGGAAAUGGUAGGGGGAUGAUCACUGGCGGAGACCAUAAAGUGACUUUUGUUCUUGUUGAUAAGCUGACCAGAGCAAUUUUCAUAAUCAGUAAGAGUCUGCAUUAUCAACUCAAUAUAUCGUCUGUCGUCCGAGGUGAAAAUAAUAACAUCAUCUGCAAAACUGAGGUGGUUAACCUGUGGACCUCUCUUUUCCAUGUAGAAACCCCGAAAGAAUUGGUUAUAGUUAAGGUUGUUCAACAAUUUGGACAGAACCUCUGCUUCUAAAAUAAAUAGGGCAGGUGCGAGUGGAUCACCCUGUUUUAAGCCUCUAGAGGAGUGGAAGAAGCCAUGUCUAACUCCAUUCACAAUCACAAAAUACCAGUUGUCCACCAAAGUCCUCCAAAUCAUAUCGAUAACAACCUCACAGAAGCCCAUUCUCCCAAGAACAAGGCAAGUAAAGGCCAAGAAACUCUGUCAUAAGCUUUGGCCAUGUCGAGUUUUAUAACCACAUUUCCCCCUAGAUUCUUUUGAUUGAUUCCAUGGACAAUUUGUUGAGCAAGCAUGAUAUUCUCUGAAAUACUCCUUCCCUUUAACGAAACCGAAUUGGUUAGUAGAAAUGAGACCAAGAAGGAUAGGAGCAAGUCGGAGACAACUAAUCUUUGAAAUAAUCUUGUUAGUGAAAUUGCUCAAACUAAUCGGUCUAAACUCACAAAGGUGGUUUGGGAACUCCACCUUAGGAAUCAAGACAAGGCAUGCAUGAGCAAAGUAUUUCGGGAGGGAAGAACCACAAAAGAAAGAACGAACCAUGGCAAGGAGAUCCAAUUUAAUAAUGUCCCAGCAAGCUUGAAAAAAUUCCCGUUUAUACCAUCUGGGCCUGCUGCUGAGUUUGGAUUCAUAAAGAAUACCACAUUUUUAAGCUCCUCCAAGUCCGGCAUAAUAGUCAAGUUAUCAUUUUGCUCAUCCGUGACAAGUGUAGGAAUACAAGCCAAAAUGUCCUCCCUAACAUAGUGAUUCUGCUCCGUAAACAGCUCUUGAAAAUGAUCACAAGCAGCCUUAGCAAUAUUGUCAUCACCCUGAAUCCAAUUGCCAUUGUCAUUUCUAACUUUGUGAAUAAACAACUUUCUCCUUCGCCCCCUCAUAAGAGCAUGGAAGUAACUGGUGUUGGCGUUUCCUUCUUUGAACCAUUGCAACUGAGCCUUUUGCUUCAAGAUAGACUCUUCAAGCUUUAGGAAUCUGAUGUAUUCAGCAUUAAGAGCAUGCAAAGAAGAUCUAUCCUGGUCACUAUUGGUUUGGAUGUAUUUUUCCUCCGCAAGCCUAACAACUUCAAAAUCUUUAACCCGAGCAAAAAUAUCCCCAAACUCAAUUUUAGACCAAUUGCUAAGUGUAGAACUAACCCGCUUCAAUUUCUGGUGAAAAUUCCACAUUGGAUGCCCCUGAAUAUCUCGGUCCCAACAAAGUCUCACCGUAUCCAUGAAAUUCAGAUUAUCAACCCAACAAUGAAGAAAUUUGAAAUAUUUUGUUGAACUAUACUGUCGAUUAGUCAUCUCCAAGAGUAGGGGGAAAUGGUCUGAACCCACAAAUGUCAAGUGAGUCACUGUAGUGAGAGGCAUUCAACUUAGCCAAUUGUCAUUUAUCAUAGCUCUGUCAAGCCUUUUCCAAACCAUAUCAUUCGGACCUCUCCCAUUGGACCAAGUAAAAGAGGAACCAUGGUAUCCCAAGUCAAUCAACCCACACUGCUCAAUCAUGUGAAGAAACUCAUAGCUCUUACUCAUUCUAUAUGGAACACCACCAAGCUUCUCCUCUGGAGUAGUGAUAAUAUUGAAGUCUCCAACUGUACACCACAGACUAGUAGUAGUUGAUCUAUGCCUGAGGGUAUUCCAAAGAGGAGCUCGGAGGUUAUCUCAGCAUUUAGCAUAAAUAAAGGAAAUAAUGAAAAUCUCCGCACACUCCACAUGUUUAAACUCACAAGUCAUAUGUUGGUCAUUCGACCUAAGAAGGACACAAUCAAUAUCAUUGUUCAAAAAAACCUACAUUUUUCCAUUAUCAUUACAGAUAGAUUUGUGCAUAGUCAAGUAGUUUGUGAAGAGAUGAAUAUGAGUGUUGUCAGAAAAAGGCUCAAGAAUGGCAAUAACUGAAAGUUUAUGAAUUUGUUUGAGAGCUUUAAGUCUCUCCAAAGCACCAAGGAUCCUGAUGCCCCUUUCAAUCCAAAUGAGUGUACUAAUCAUGAGGAAGUUUGAGUUUCCUCAUCUGUCUGGUCCUGGUUGCUAGGGGGCGGUCCUAGAACCUGGUGAAAGCAGAAUAGUGCCCCUAGGUGAGAGUCCUUGCUCAUCCGCAACCUUUUGCAUUUGAGAAGAAGAACCAAAUGUCUCAAUGAGCUGACGGACAUGUUUAUCAUCUAUGAGUUCUGGAGAAUCAUUUUCUUCUUCAGAAAUAUCAUUGUUUUUAUCUUCCGAUACAACCUGCAUGUAGUCAUCUUCCAAAAUAUUACCGGAGGUGUUCAGAUAACAAUCCUCAAUAAUACGAUCUGGAGGUUCUGCGUCAGUAGGAAUAGUCUGAUCCUUUUCACUAUCAACCUGUGAAUUUGAGUCAGGAAGCACUGAUUAAAGAGGAGUAAUAUAUAUAGGACUCUUAGGAUGGUCAUAAAUAAAAUGACCAGCCUCUUCUGUAGCAUUUUGAUCAUCUGGGAGCCGAGUACUUUGAUUAUCUGAGACCCGAAUACAUUCUGAUCAACUGUCACAUUAUCCGUAGAGUUCUGAUCAUCUGGAACCUGAGUAUCUUGAUCACUAGUUUCUCCAUGUCCAACAUUUUUUGGUGAAUCCUUAGCAUAGAAACUAGCAAUCUGUUGAUCGUGAAGUUCUACUUUCUUAUUUUGAGCCAUUUUUCUCUUUUGAGCAUUUGGCUCUGCCUUCCCUUUAGGACUGGUAGCAAGAUUCUGGGGUUGACUCUUAUGGGUAGGGCUAGUAACUUUAGUUGUAACCGGGUAGGAAGGACUUGUACUAUUAGGCUUUAUGGGCUUCUCCCGACAACCAACCAAACCUCCAAUAACAUCCUCCUGACCAUCAUCCUCACCUCCUUCAACCAACAAAUCAUGAUUAGCAGCACAAAUAAUGGGGUUGCCAUGGGGAGUGGGAGCGGCUGUACGCAGAAUGGGGGUAGCCAUGGGGGUGGGAAGUGGCAGCAUAUAUACUGGGGUUGCCAUGGGGAGUGGGAGCGACAACACGCAUAAUGGGAUAGCCAUGGGAAGGGGAAAUGGCAACACACAUAUUGGGGUAGCCAUGGGGAGUGGGAGAAGAGGUACAAGCAACAACCUGGUCCUCAAUAGUAGAAACACUUGUCACUUGCUUCGGAUUCUUUGGGACUUGCUCAUUUGGAUUCUUUGGGACUUGCUCAUUUGGAUUCUUUGGGACUUGCUCAUUUGGAUUCUUUGGGACUUGCUCAUUUGGAUUCUUUGGGACUUGCUCAUUUGGAUUUUGCGGGACUUGCUCAUUUGGAUUCUUUGGGACUUGCUCAUUUGGAUUCUUUGGGACUUGCUUUUCAAUAUUUUGCAAGGCAUGCUCCUUUGGACUUUGGGGAACCUAUAGGUUAGUAGAAACAACAACAAUAGGAGAAGAAGUGGAAACCAUACCUGAGUUACCUGUUAGUUCCAGUGGUGAGUCUAGAGGGUGCUUUGCUUUCUUGCCUGCUUUUUCCUUCUCCUUGUAUUUUUUCCUUUCUUCAUCUCUUUUAUUUAACUCACAAGCUGGGAGGGCAUGACCUUGAUGCUUACAGUAAACACAAUAGAGAGGAAUGUCUUCACACUCUAUAUCUUGCCAGCGACCCUCUCCAUUAAUGUCAUUAUUGGAGUCAAAACCAAUCCAAUCACUUUGUUUUCGAGGCAAUGUGAUAUCCAUUUGAACUUUGACCUUAGCGAAACUGCCUCUAGUUUUUUGUAGAAAAGCUGCAUCUAAGUGGAUCACCUUACCCACAUCGGCAAGUAAGUGAGUUACAAACUCUUUAUAAUAAUAGUGCCAUGGUAGUUCAAGAAGGAGUACCCAAAAAGGAACAAUCGGAGUUUCAAGGUUUGGUGAUAAAGUAGGGGUCCAAACAUGAAUUCUCAUGAACUUGCCUUCAAUGUAUAGCCUCUUACUAUCCAGAACAGUAGCCCUAUAAAGCUCAUUGUCCAAGUCAAUAUAUAUGUGUCGAGAGUUGAAGUGAGUAAUCCUAACGGAACUCGAUAACUCAACUUGAGUAAUAAAAUUCUUGCGAAUGACUUCCAUCUUAGGCAUGGGAUCAUAAAACUUACCAAUGAGGGUGUAUAUGCACGAAUCAGACAUCGUCACCAUAUAAUCAUUUAUAUCAUACAUCACAGUCGAACGACCUUGUUUGGUUGAUCUUGAAGGAACAAUAAGAUCAAUCUUGGUCGUUUUCGCUAUUUCUAGCUCUAAACUUGUUCCCCCAAGAUGGGACAGUGGUGGGAGGCGGAGGAUGGGUGAUGGUAAAGGUAGGAAAGGAAGAUUGGUUAUUCUUUUUUGGAGAUAGAGCACUCGUGGAAAGGGGAAUAGCCAAAUUUUGAGGGUCGUUUGGAUUCUACUUAUCAAAAUUGGAGGAGAUAGGUGGAAAGUGGUUGGUGGGAGGUUUGAUGGUGAUUUUUUCCCUCUCGUUGCUGGUACAGACCGGAGAGACAAUGACAGUAGAGGGCUGUGCGAAAUCACUAUUUUUGGGACUUUUGGAAGCAUCAAAAUUCAAAACGGAGUUAGGAGGGUCUAAAAGAUUGGAUUUUUGGAUAGAGUCAUUACUGGUGUGAUGGGGAAUGUUCUGCAAUUGGUUUGGGAUUGUUUUCGGCACCGGAAAAGAAAUUUUGGCCAAACAGUGGCUAUCGGAAACUUCCCGGAUGCUAUUAUCCCAAUUUGAUUGAUGUGGAGAGCAAUUAGGAUGGUAUUUUUGGUCAUGGAGGUUGCUGAGAGGUGAAGGACUAGAAUUAGAUUGGAUUUGGGAUUUUCUGGUAGCCAGAGCUCCGGCGCCGGCGACGACAUAGAGAGGGGAAACCCUAAUUCUAAAAUUCGAGGAGGAGGAGGAGGGAUUACUUGAUAGGGCUUUUGUGGAUUUGGAUUCUCCUCAUCAAGAUGAACAAUUUGGCAUUGCCAACUUUGGGAUCGGAGCUCCGCCGACGUCCGACAGCCCUACCUGAACCCUAGAGCUGUAGAUAAAUUUAGAUUGCUCCGAACCAAUUGGGGAUUUUUGCAUAUUCAGUUUGCUGGUAGGAUUCUUCACCGGAUUCCAUUUAAAAUUUGAGUUUUUGAACUCCGGCACGACAAUGCCGCCGUCGCCGAAAAUCAACGGAGGUGGCCCAACCUUCAAACUCAAAUUUAAGACGUUCCCGGUGGUAGAAUUUAGGGCUUUUUGCAUGGUUGUGACCGAAAUAAUGCCAGCUACACUUUGGCAUUGGUUUUGGUCCAAAAUAGUCGCCGAAAAAGCAGCGACUCCGGUCAGUUGCUCGCCGCCGGCAAUUCUGCCUCCCAAACUGGCUGGGUUUUUCAUGGGAGGUGCGUCGUGAGGAGGGCUACAAACCCAGUAGGAGAGCCACCAGAAAGACCACCGGAAGUGGGUCGUAUUUGAGAGCCGGCGAUUCACCGGAAUUGCGUCGAUUCUCCUCUGGUCGAUUUCUCUCAAAUGGCACGGUGGAAUUGUCUAAUUUUUUGAUAUGUUGUAGAUCUGAUAGAGAUCUAUCAUCCCCAACAUUACAGUUUCAAAUCAACAUCAACAAAAGAACUAGAAAUGUUUUUAGGAUUUUUGGCAGUUUCACCAUGGGAGGUGCUACAACGAUUCUGGCUGCUUAUGGAGUUUUCCAGGAGCAGUGGUUGGAGUUUUUUGAUGAUUCAACUUGCACUAGAUUCGUAUCAUCGAUAUCUACAAUCAUUUCUUUCGAACGAAAUUUUUCGGGAUCGGGUGGGGGUUUGGGGUUUAUGGCUUAAGAUUUAGGGUUUAGAGUUUAGAGUUUAGGGAUUAUGGUUAAGGGUUUAGGGUUUAGGGAUUAGAGUUUAAGGUUUAUGGUUAAGGAUAUAGGGUUUAGGUUUUAGGUUUUAGGAUUCAGGGUUUUGGGUUUAGGGUUUAGAGUUUAGAUUUUAGGAUAUGAUUUAGGGUUUAGGGAUCGGUUUUAGGGUUUAGGGUUUAGAGUUUGGAUAAAGGGUUUAGGGUUUACGGUUAAGGAUUUAAGUUUUAGGGUUUAGGGUUUAUAGUUUACGGUUUAGUAUUUAGAGUUUAGAGUUUAGGGUUUAGGGUUUAGGGUUUAGGGUUUAGGGAUUAGAGUUUAGUGUUUAUUGUUAAGAGUAUAGGGUUUGGGGUUUAGGGUUUAGGGUUUUGGAUUUAGGGUUUAGAGUUUAGAUUUUAGGGUUUAUGGUUUACUGUUUAGGGUUUAAGGUUUAAAGUUUGAAUUUAGGGUUUAGGAUUUAUGGUUUCGAGUUUGGGUUUAGGGUUUAGGGUUUAUGGUUUAGGGUUUAGGGUUUAGGAUUUAGGGUUAGGAUUAAGGGUUUAGAGUUUAGGGUUUACGAUUUAGGGUUUAGAGUUUAGGAUUUAGGGUUUAGGGUUUAGAGUUUGGAUUUAGGGUUUAAGGUUUAGGUUCAGGUUUAGGGUUUAGGGUUUAGGGUUUAGGUUUUAGGGAUUAACGUUUAGAGUUUAGGAUUUAGCGUUUAGGCUUUAGGGUUUAGGUUUUAGGGUUAUGAUUUAGGGUUUAGGGUUUGGGGUUUAGUUUUAGGGAUUAGGGUUAAUAGUUUAGCAUUUAAGGGUUUAGGGUUUAGGGUGUAGGGCUUAUGGUUUAGGGUUUAGGUUUUAGGGUUUAGGGUUUUGGGUUUAGGUUUAGGGUUUAGGGUUUAGGGUGUAGGGCUUAUGGUUUAGGGUUUAGGUUUUAGGGUUUAGGGUUUUGGGUUUAGGUUUAGGGUUUAGGGUUUAGGGUGUAGGGCUUAUGGUUUAGGGUUUAGGUUUUAGGGUUUAGGGUUAGGGUUUAGGGUUGAUAGUUUAGUGUUUAGGGUUUAGGGUGUAGGGUUAGAGUAUAGGGAUUAGGGUUAGAGUUUUUGGUUUAGAGUUUAAGAUUUGGGGUUUAGGGUUCAGGAUUCAGGGUUUAGAGUUUAGGGUUUAGGAUUUCUUUUUUCUUUUUUUAUUUUAACGACCCUUGGAGGGGUCAGGGGCUUAGCAACACCCCCAGGCCUUAUCAUAUUUAAAAGCAAAAACUACAAAGAGGGGGACAUAAACCUUACCUCCAUAAAGGUGGUGCAAGAGUUGGUAGCCCACUAAGUAACCUUAGUUGGUUCUCCAACUCUUCUCCAGAAAAAAAGAUUGGACCUAUAUUCUAUGCACCUAUAUGAGAGGACUCCUCUCGAUACACAGAUUCUAGGGAAACAUAAAUGAGGGAGACUCUCCCCUUACAAAGGAAAGACUAAAUAAACAAACUAUCUUAGCUAAGGGACAGACUAAUAGGAGAUGACAGGAGGAUCAUCCAAAAGAAGGCCUGAAGAAGGUCGUGCUCCUUCAUAGGUUUUCCAGAUAAGAAUAAAUCAAGGUUGUUCCUUAAUUAUUUUCAAUUUUCAUCUUAUGAAGCUUGCCAUACCUGCUAUGUCUUGUUGGAAAUAAGCUGCUGCAAGUUUGGGGAGUUGCUGAAUGCUGAAGUAUACCUGAGGAUUAGUAAUCUGGUGGCUGUGUUUAGAGAGUACAUCUGCUACAAAGUUGGCCUCCCUGAAAGUGUGAAUGCAUUUGAAAUGAUCAAGUUGAGUGACAAGUUGGUGAAGCUGUUGCAUUUGGGAAGAGAUGUUCCAGGGAGCUGUCGCGCUGUUCAUAAGCCAAUCCACCAGAAGUUGGGAAUCAACUUCAAGAGUCACUUGAUUAUAUUUCAUAUGUAUGCACCAUGUUAAGCCAAAAAUUACAGCUUCCACCUCUGCUUGGUUGUUUGUUCCUGUCCCCAAAGGAGCUGAAAAGGCCAAGGUAAUUUCUCCAAGAUGGUUCCUGAUGACACCCCCUGCUCCUAUGCUGCCCGGGUUACUCAAAGCACUCCCAUCCGUGUUAAGUUUAACCCACCUGUAUAGAGGUUUAGUCCACUGAACAACAGUAACCUUGGUGUCUUGGGUACACUUUUCGAUGACUGUACAUAACUUGUUCCACCUCAAAGGCCAAGAGAUAUAUGGAAAGAUUGUGUGUAGCAGCUUGAAACUGUCUAGAAUUAUUAAAUGUUUCACUCUUGCAAUGUUGGAUUGCUUGCCCCCGUACUUUGCAGCACACCUAUUUUUCCACAAAUUCCAACAAAUAAAUAUUGGUGUGGAUUGAAGAUUAAGUUUGUGUGCUUCAUUGUUAUGAGUAGCACUCCACCAUCUCAUGAUCAUGUUUCUAAGUGGCAAGUAGUCAGUUUGGAUGCCAAGCGAGAUCGCAAAGUAUUUCCAAACAUUCUUGGCUAAGUCUCCUGAAUUGAAUGUAUGCUCGAUAGUAUCUGUAACUGGAGAGUGGCAGCAGUGACAGUCACUAGGUUCAAUUCCAAAGCUCGAAAGCUUUUCAUUGGUAGGGAGUUUGCCUCUAAUUGCUCUCCAAAGUAAGAAUGAGCAUUUAAAUGGAAUUUUUGGAUGCCAAGUGUAGGUGUUGAUCUUGGUUUUUUCCCUUUUCUCUCUAAUACUGUUCCAUGCAGAUGCGAAAGAAAACAGACCAUUGGUGUUGAGCUUCCACACUUCUUGAUCAGGCUGGCCUUGCUGGAGCUGUAUCUGUGUGGAUAAAAUAAUAUGUACUUGGCUUUGAGGAGCUACCUGGAGCACCUUAGUCAUGUUCCAUUGUCCAUCUUCAAUAAAUUUCGAAACAGAAUCAUUAUUGAACCUGUUGCUGUUGGAGGUAUAUUGAGCUAACGGACCCACUCCUAACCAGUUAUCCCACCAAAAGGAGCAGGAUCCAUCUCUGAUUUUCCAUUGAAUAUUGCUCUCCACAGUGUGUUUGUUCUUCAUCAUCAAUCUCCAAGCUUGUGAUUCCCAUGUAUCCCAUUUUUUACUUAUUGGAUUGGAUCUUUGGCAAUACUUAGCCUUAAAAACUUCACCCCAAAGUGUAUGUUUGGAUCUGAAAAUGCACCAUUAUUUGAAUUGAAAAGCUUGACAAACAUCAUCCAUGAGCCUAACUCCAAUUCCCCCCUCAGCAUAGGGAAAACUUAAGUUUUCCCAUGAGGACCAAUGGUAUUUUUUCUUGUCAUUCCUCCAUCCCCAGAAAAAAUCAGCCAUGAUGCCUUGGAUUUGUUUAAUAAUAGUUGAGGGAGGUGUAGUAGCUGACAGGAUGUGAAUAGGGAGUGAUUGUAACACAUGCUUAAUCAGAGUUACUUUGCCCCUAUAACUCAGCAUCUUGGAUUGCCAACCUGUAAUUCUCUUCACAACUUUGCUUGUAAUUUCAGAGAAAUAGAUGAUCUUUGGCCUACCAAUAAAUAGAAGGCAACCAAGGUAAGUUAGAGGAGUUUCUUUCUGGUGUAAUCCAGUGUAUUUUUUUAUUCUGUCACAGGUAGUUCUGAAAGCAUUGGAGUGUAGCAUGAAAUGGCUAUUUGUUUUGUUGAUAAGCUGGCCGGAAAUCCUCUCAUAAGUAGCCAAGGUAUGCAUAAUAAGUUUAAGAGAAUGCUUCCUCCCAGAGGUGAAUAUUAUGAUGUCAUCAGCAAAGCUAAGAUGGUUGACCUGAGGGCCUCUCCUCUCCAUAUAGAAACCAUGGUAAAGGGGGUUAUGGUGCAAUCUGUUCAAUGAUCUAGACAACACCUCAGCACCUAAAAUAAAUAGGGUUGGGGAUAGGGGAUCACCCUUCUUUAAGCCUCUAGUGGAAUGAAAGAAUCCAUGUCUCUUGCCAUUAAUAAUGAUAGAGUACCAGUUGUUUGCCAUAAUUCUCCAAACCAUGUCUAUGAAGACUUCAUCAAACCCCAUUUUUCUGAGGAUCAGACAAGUAUAUGACCAAGACACCCUGUCAUAGGCUUUUGCCAUAUCAAGUUUGAUCACUACAUUGCUUCCAAUGGUAAGUUUUUUGAUUUGGUGGAUAAUUUCUUGAGCUAGCAUAAUGUUCUCUGAAAUGCUCCUUCCCUUGACGAAACCUGACUGAUUAGGGGAGAUUAGACUAGGUAAGAUGGGGCCCAAUCUGAGGCAUAAAAUCUUAGAAAUAAUCUUGUUUGUGACAUUACUCAAGCUGAUUGGUCGAAACUCUGAAAGUUUAUUAGGAUUAUUCACUUUAGGGAGAAGGACCAAGCAAGCAUGUGAAAAGUAUUUAGGAAGCAUUUGGCCACUGAAAAAAGACUGAAUGACUACCAGCAGGUCCUUUUUUAUAAUACUCCAACACUUCUGGAAAAAACACCCAUUCAUACCAUCAGGUCCUGCAGCUGAAUUAGGAUUCAUGGAGUAUACCACCUCCUUAAGCUCCUCCAAAGUUGGUAAUUCCUUCAUCCUAUCAUUUUGCUCCUGAGUAACCAUUCUGGGAAUACAAUCCAUGGGGAUUUCAUCAAUAAGAUUUUCUUCUCCUGUAAAGAUGUUCUGAAAAUGGUCACAGGCAGCCCACGCAAUUUGAUCAUCACCCUGUACCCAUUCAUCAUUGUCAUUGAGGAUUUUGUGAAUAAACAACCUCCUCCUUCUUCCCCUAAUCAAAGCAUGAAAGUACUUAGAGUUACCAUCACCCUCUUUAAACCAUUGUAGCUGAGUCUUUUGUUUAAGAAUAGAGUCCUCCAACUUCAUGAAUUUGAUAUAUUCUGCAUUAAUACCAUGAAGUUUUGUUCUCUGUUCUUCUGUGUUGUUGUGAAUGAGAUCCUCUUCAGCCACCCUGACUCUUUCCUCAUAGUCUUUGACCUUUGCAUAAAUAUCCCUAAAUUGCAUUUUAGACCAAGCACUGAGAGUAGAGGCAAGUCUCUUCAUUUUCUGAUGGAAGGUCCACAUGGGAUGUCCUGCUAUGGGCCUGUUCCAGCAGUCUGUAACAGUCUCUACAAAUGCAGGUUGAUCAGCCCAGCAGUUAAGAAAUUUGAAGUAUUUAAUGUGAUUCUCUGGUCUAACAUUCAUUUCCAUAAGGAGUGGGCAGUGGUCAGACCCCACAGAAGGCAGGUGGGUAAUGUUAGUAUGAGGCAUGAUUUGCAACCAUCUAUCGUUAACCAUAGCUCUGUCCAACCUUUUCCAAAUUCUGAAAUUUAUACCCCGUUGAUUAGACCAAGUGAAUCUAGGUCCAUUAAACCCCAGGUCCAUGAGUCCACAAGCUUCAAUAACUCCAAUGAAUUCAAGGCUUUUUCUCAUGUUGUAAGGAAUGCCACCCAGUUUAUCAUCAGUAUCAGUUAUAACAUUAAAGUCUCCAACAGUUCACUAGGGGGUGGCAUCUCUAGUAUCUGCAAUGUGAAGUAACCUGUCCCAGAGAGGCUUUCUGAGAUAUUUUUUUCAUUUAGCAUACACAAAGGUCUUGAUGUAGGUACCAGGAGCUUCUAUGUGGUUGAUUUCACAAGUAAUUUGUUGAUCAUCAGUUUCUAGUACCUUACAAGUAAUAUCAUAUAUCCAAAAUAACCAAAUUUUACCAAUGAUGUUACUAGUAGCAUGAUCCAUGGCAAGCAUACUUUUAAACAUGUUUACCUGGGCCUGAUCUGAGAAUGGUUCCAAAAUGGCAAUCAUAGACACAUGAUGGAUAUUUUUGAGGUUCUUGAGUCUUUCUAUAACACCUUGGGUAUUGAUUCCUCUCACAUUCCAUAUGAUUGUACUAAUCAUUGAGAUGCUCAAGAGGUAAAAAGUCUAGUGUUUGGUCUUCCUGCUGUUACAGGAAUGGGUGGGGAUGGUUUUUUGAGAGGUAAUCUUUCCAGAUGCAUGCCCCUGGGAGAAAGUCCCUGUGUGUUGGUAACUUGUUGCAGUUCCUUGUCAAACUCUGUGUCAUUAUUUGGGCUAAAAGCUUUGAUCAGGAGUUCACUGGUCUCAUCAUCCUCAUCUUUUGCAUUGUCAAGUGGAUUAUCUUCUUCUAACUCAUUUUCUGAAUUUUCCACUUCAUACUUAUCUCUUACAGUCACUGUGGCCUGAUCAGGAGGUUUCCCAGGAGUAGGGGGGAUAUACUGAGCUUUAAGGGGGAUGACAUCCAUUACAUGCUCCACCAUGAUGAAUUUUUUACAAGGAUUUACUCCCUCCGUAUGGUUGUUAUUUUGGGUCUGUUCUUGCUGAUAGUGCUCAACUUACUUCUUCUUGAUAGCUUCCCUCUUCUUCUUGCUAGGCUUGUUCUUACUCUUGGGGGUUUCCACUUGUUUGCUAGAGCUUGCUUUGUUUUCCAUAUCCUUUUCCAUGGAGCCUUUGAGCUGAUUAUCUUCUUCUCUAAUGAUAUGUACCUGCUGACUUCCUUCUUUUGUGCUUUGGUGUACCUAUUUUUGAUUUUGUUGGGCAGCAUUUAUAGUGGUAGCAGGGGCUGGAAGGUCAUUCCUAGGGUCAGCCAUUUGGUUUUCAUUCAAAACAUGAGACAAUUCCCUCCCCCUAGGUUCCCCUUCCUGCAAGUUAGUGUCUUUCUCCUUUACUACCAUCCUCCCUCCGAAAACUUCAGCAGUCACAAACAGGGGGAUAACAGGGGAUGGGACCUCAUUAUCAACAAAAUGGUCAUCAACAUCAACAAUAACAGGGGAUGGGGGUAUUGGAAUCUAAUCACCAGAUUCCUCAAUCUCAAUAACAGGAGUUUUGGAAUUCAUACCUGUUUUCUGCAUUGUCUGCUGAGUGUGGGAUGCUUUGGUUUGCUAAAUCUGUACUUGAGAAUUUUGGUUCUUACCUUGGUCCUGGUUUUGUUGGUAGUUUUUGUUUUUUUUUCUCGUUUGUAUUUGCCAUUGUUCCUCUUUGUGUGUGACAGCAACUUUAGUAGGCCUGCUUGCAUUGGUUUGCCUAUUUGGUUGGACUUUUUCUUUACCUUUCUCUUGCUGAGGAUUGCUUUUAGGAUUCUGAUUUGGUUGCUUCUCAUAACCUUUCUUGUUGGCUUCCAAUUCCUUCCUUUGUUUUAUUUCUUCAUCCCUUUUCUUCACUGGACAUUCUCCAAGUAUAUGGUCCUGGUGCUUACAAUAUAGACAAUAAGAAGGGACAUCUUCAAAUUCUAUGAUUUGCCACUUACCUAGAGAAGGGUCUUUUUCCGAAAAGCCUAGCCACACAUGUUGAGGUCUUUCUUUAGUGAUAUCUAUUUGGACCCUUACUUUUGCAAUACUUCCCCUGGUUUUUUGCAUGGUUGCAGAAUCCAGAUAUAAAGCUUUACCAAUAGGGGACAGCAAUGGAGUAAGGAUAUCCAUAUAGUAGCAAUGCCAAGGGAGCUCGGGCAAAGAGAUCCAGAUGGGCACUAUAGGGGUUUCCUCAGCAGGUUUAGUUAGGGUUUAAGGUUUAGGUUUAGGGUUUAGGGUUUAGGAUUUAGAGUUUAGGAUAUAGGGUUUAGGGUUGAGGGUUGAGGUUUAGGGUUUAAAGUUUAGGGUUAGGGUUUAGGGUUUAGUGUUUAGUUUUUAGGGUUUAGGGUUUAGGGUUUAGGGUUUAGUGUUUUGAGUUGAGGAUUUAGAGUUUAGAGUUUAGAGCAUAGGAUUUAGGGUUUAGGUUUUUUUUUUUUAACUACCCUUGCGGGGGGGUUAGGUGCUUAGCAAUACCCCCAGGCAUUAGCAUAAAUGAAACAAAAAACAAUAUACAAGGACGGGGAAAUAAACCUUACCUCCAAUCCUAUGGUGGUUCAGAAGUCGAUCAUCCUACUAAGGUCAAUCAACUCUUCCCCAAUACUAUAAGAUGAAACCUAUCUUCUAAACAUCUGUGAGAGGACUCCUCUCGAUACAAAGAAAUUAGGAAAUCAUAAAUAAGGGAGACUCUCUCUUUACAAGUGAAACCAAGAAAGGAAAAAGCCUAUGCCCUAGAAAGGUCUUUCUUCAUACAGCCCUAAGUCAUAGGUAAGAGAGAACUAUAAUGAAGAAAGCUCGGUGACAUCAAAAAGGAAAAGAAAGCUCCAUGAUGGUAUGGUGUGGCCUUACACUAUAGUCAAAACAAUCAGCAAGGAGAUCAAGGCGGUUCUUCAAUUCCCUUAGUUUUCUUUCGUCUGAGGUUAGCCAAACCAUGCUUGUCUGUCCGGAGUAUCCCUCAGAUAUGAAUAGUGUAACAACCCAUAUUAUGCAUAUGUUUGUUCUGUUUUUGUGAUACUUGACAUAGCCUUAUAGUAUAGGAGAGGGACCAUGUUUCUUAUAUGAUUAGUGUUGGUUUAAACUAGCUCGGAAGGUGAUGUGAUGCCUUGCACGUUGCAGCAUGUGUACUGCAGGUUAUAACUCCAACGGAAAUAUUUAAACUCGAGACGGGAAGGUGGUAAUUGAGCUUAAAGUUGAAAGUUAAGUGCUACGUUAAAGAAAAAUAGAUUAAUAAUUAGAAAAUAGAUUAAAAUAGGUGAGCUGCUUGCUUGACUUAACUAAGCUAGUAGGUGACAAGUAGGUGCACCACCUACUUUGACCUAUUGACUAGUCCAAAGAACCAAGUAGGUAAAUCACCUACUUGAACUAUAUGGAUCUAGUUAAAAAGGCCAAGGUUUAUAGAUCAGAUUUGGGCCUAUGCUAAUGGACUCACUUGAGGCCCAAACUAUGUUAAAUAAAACAAAAUGAAAUGAAAGCCCAGCAGCCAAAUCUGUCAAGUCCCAAUAUUUAAGCCCAAGUGAAAGCAAGUAAGUGCAUCACCUAGUUUGACCUUUUGAGCUGCUUGAUGUACACAUAAGCAGGUGCAUCACCUACUUGACCAAUUAGUGGCUGAAAAUGAAGCUUUCUAGUGGAUAUUCUUAAAUGUGAAGAAAGCUUAAUAUAAAGAUAUAUUGUUUGCUAUUCUCAUUCAUUUUAACACGCAUUAUUUAGGAUUAACUCCAGCUCUUUCUCUCUCUUUUCUCUUAAGGAUUAAACAACAGCCUUAAAGUUCUUCUAGGGUUCUUGAAGAAACCCUCAUCUCUGCAAGAUAAGGUAAGUGAAAACACUUAUGGAUUUAGCUUAAUUCUCCCAUGAAUGAUUAGGAAAACAUGUUAUUCAUGCUCAAGUAUAGGUAUAAAGGCAUGAUAAUUCCAGAAGCUACUUCUCACUUCCUUGGUUAUUAAGAUACUUUUCUCUUCUUCUUCGGUUUAAGUGUGAAGGGAAGUUGAAGUUCUAGAGGAAUUCAAGUUAUAAAGAGAAGUUGUAGAAAUUGAGGUAAGGUGAGUGCUCCAUUUUCUUCCUCCUUAUGGAUAAGUGAUAUACCGUGAUUUUACGGUAUUUCUAAUACGUUUCACUUACAAGUUGUGUGUGUCUAAGGCCCUUUUAUAUUGGUUUUGAUAUGUUUUAUCAUGUUUUGCAGGAAAGACGUUCAGGCGCGGAAGUGUAGAGACAACUGAAAUAAAUGCAGAAGAAAGGCAUUCACGGAGGUGAUCUACGGACGGUAGGUCCAAUCACGGUCCUUAGGUGAUGACCGUAGAUCAGCAGGCAAGGCAUGGAGGACAAAUCUGGGAAAUCUGACCAAGUGUGGAACCAUGGCUUCUACCGACGGUCCGUAGAUUGAUCUACGGAACAUACUGUUGAUCCAUAAAAUGAUACUGCGAGGGUUCCAGUACCUGAUUUUUNNNNNNNNNNNNNNNNNNNNNNNNNNNNNNNNNNNNNNNNNNNNNNNNNNNNNNNNNNNNNNNNNNNNNNNNNNNNNNNNNNNNNNNNNNNNNNNNNNNNAAUUGACUUUUGAUUAUUGAUUACUUUCUGAAUUCUUUCAAUUUGUUUCAAAAAACCCCCCUUUUAUUUCUUGUUUCUGGAAGUACUUUGGCUAAUUGAAUAUAAUUGUUGGUUAAAGUAAAGUCUAAACCAUUUUACUCGUGGGAUCGACCCCAACCUACAAGUUGGGUUCUUUACUUGAUAAUGAUCGCUUAUACUUCUUAAGGGAGGUGUAAUUUGAGCGUAUCAAUGAGUUUGAGUGAGGAAUUAGGGGUGUGCUGUCAUAAAGAAUUAAAGGGGGUACUGAGCUCAAUAAUUGGUUGUAUGAUAAAAGAAUAUUUUAGGCUGUUUUAUGUGUAUUGUUGUUGGUGCAGUUUGGGUAAUCUUGGAAAAGGAUAUAUAAUGUAUGUAUUGGGCAGAGAAAGAGGGUGUGGUGAUACACAUUGUUUUAAGGGCUGUAUGGGCUCAUUAUCCGUCAAAGUUAGCUACUAUUUUACGAGGCUCACGGUGUGAUAGCUGCUAAUUUAAAUUUAUCAUGACUUAUGUUGUAGAUUAUAACAUGAAAGGGGAGACUGAAUCGUGAUAGUUGUAUUGAAUAGAGGAUAAGGUAUGUAAGGCUAUUCGAUUCAAUAUUCUUCGGCAUGAAAUCUGAUACUUGAGAUUAAUAUCAAUAAGUGAAUUUCCUAAGUUCUAUUCCUAGUAACCAUAGUCCCAAAUAUCAAAAAUAAUUAUGACCACCAAAACAACAAUUUCAAAGAUAAAAGAAUCUAAGUAAAGCAAUCUAUAUAAUUAAGAGUGGCAGCUCAGGGGCGAAAGUCUAGCAUGGGCCGAUCCCAAUAGGUAUAAAAGGGUGGCAGCUCAGGGGAGAAAGCCUAGCAUGGGCCGAUCCCAAUUUGUAUAAUUAUGAGGACCGCAUCCCAGGGGUUAAAAUGCCUAGCAUGGGUCAUCCUCUUCUACCACUGAUCAGCUGGUCAUUCGUAUCAAAUGCCUUAUAAAGAUCAUAACACACAGAAAGGUAAAGACAAGAAUGUAACAUACAUGAUUCCAUAAGAGUUAACCAAUGUUGUCUUUUGUUCUGAUUUAUGCACACAUACAUUGAUACUUAGUUUCAUUGAACUCCUAUUUAGAUAAGCUAUUGCCUUACAUAUUCAGUACAUUUUCUCGUACUGACGUCCCUCGCGGGGGACGCUGCAUUUCAUGCUGCAGGAACAGGUACUUCAGCUAGUAGACCUCCUCAGUAGAAGCACACGACACUCAGCUACUUUCGGUGAGCUCCAGAUUGAUUCAGAGCUUUACUGAGUCCUUGGUAGAUUCAUUUUGGUAUUGUAUCGUAGUUAAGGGUAAGGCGGGGUCUAUCCCGACCUACUCUAAGGUUUUCUAUCUUUUAGAGGCUUUGUAGACUUUUAUGUAUAUGCUUCAAUUUCGUCUUAACAAGUUGUGGCCUCAACGGCCAAGUCUUGUAUAUAAGUUUUGGGUCUACUUAUGUUGGUUUGUAUCACUGCAUCCUAUGUGAACUUGUCACAAGAUUGUCAUAGUUAUAUGCAUAGUAGGCACAGGUUACAUGUUGGUUCUCUCGGGCCUUUAGGGCAUCGGGUGCCUGUCCGUCUUAAUGGGAUUUCAAGCGUGACAAAAGUAGUAUCAGAGCAGGUCAUCCUAGGGAGUCUACAAAGCCGUGUCUGUGUAGAGUCUUGCUUAUGGAUGUGUUGUGCACCACAUUUAUAAACAGGAUGCUACGGGACAUGUAGGAGUUGUCUCUUUUCUUUCAUAUCUUAGACCGUGCGAUAGAACCAAAGUAUAAGGUGAAUCGUAUUUAACUUCUGAAUUGCUUUUAUUAUAGAAAAGAUGCCGGUUACAACAAAGAGUAAAAGUACAGGUAAGCGAGUAGAUGUGGCUGCCUAAGAAGGGACCAGCCAACCACCACCUAAUCAAGUUGUUCAAAGUGAGGCUCAAGAUGAGUCCCUAUCACAGACUUCCCCGACUCCUCCAUCUCCAGAAGAUCUAAGGAGGGAAGCUGCACCUCAAGAACCCACUAUUAAUGCUACCAAGCAAGAUUUGAGGAAUGCAGUCCAAUUAUUGACUCGUAUAGUUGUUGGCCACGGCCAAAGGCAAGAAGGUCCAGUUGCAGGUACUAGUGGUGUAGAUAGAGCAACUGGCACGCGGAUACGUGACUUCCUAAUUUGGACCCUCCAUCAUUCACUGGGUCAGAUCCUAAUGAGGACCAACAAGAUUUUAUAGAUCAAAUCCAACGCACUUUGGCUGUUAUGCAUGUAAGUGGUAAAGAAGCGCUCGAGCUAGCAGCAUAUAGACUAAAGGGUGUGGUUGUAUUGUGGUAUGAUGCUUGGAAGCAAUCUAGGGGAACAGAUGCACCUUCAGCUAUGUGGAAAGAGUUCAUAAAGGCAUUUCUAGACCAUUAUCUGCCAUUGGAGAUCCGAGAGGCCCGUGUGGAUCAGUUCAUAAAUCUCCACCAAGGAAAUAUGAGUGUGAGAGAGUACAGUCUCAAAUUUAAUUCCUUGGCCAGGUAUGCUCCUAAUGUAGUAACUACUAUGGAGGAUAGAGUUCAUCGAUAUGUGGAUAGAUUAGAUUCAUCUAUGGUUAGAGACAGUACCAUUGCUUCGUUGAAUAAAGAUAUGGAUAUAACAAGGAUGCAAGCUUUUACGCAAAAGUUGGAGGAUCAAAGGCAAAGAAGAAGGACACAAGAUUCGGAAACAGGGCAUUCUAAGAGGGCCAGAUCCAUGGGGCAGUUUACACCAUCCCAAGGUGAGUUUAGGCCUCGGUUCUUUAACAGACCACCUAGGCCAUCAUCUUUCUACUCUACAGCUAGUGCCCCACCUCGGUUUCAAGAAUCUAGGGGCAAUCAGUUUGGGAAAAGAGGUGAAAGCCAAGGUUCACGAAUAGCGGGGUACCCAGAGAAGGGAAGUAUGAGUCAAUCAAGACCUCCUCGACAGUCUUGUAAACAAUGUGGAAGGAAUCAUCUAGGUGCAUGUAGGUUUGGGAAAAAUGUUUGUUUUUGGUGUGGUACACCGGGUCAUCUGAUGAGAAAUUUCCCUCAUAGGGGUGUGGGUGGUGUGGCACAACCUACUAGAUCAGUUGUUGCAUCAUCAUCAUCAGCACCUUCUUUGGGUAGGGGACAAAUGCCUACUGGUCGUGGUAGAGGAUUUAGGGGAGCAGCUAGUUCUAGUGGAGUUUAGAAUCGAACAUAUGCCCUAGGGGAUCGAUAAAAUUUAGAAGCCUCGCCAGAUGUGGUUACAGGUACAUUGUCCAUCUUUUCACAUAUUGUAUAUGCAUUAAUUGAUUCGGGGUCUACACUAUCAUAUGUUACUCCAUUGAUUGCUGAAAAGUUCAAAAGAACACCAGAAUUAUUAGUGAAGCCAUUUGAACUGUCUACACCGAUUGGUGAAUCUACUAUAGCUAGAAGGGUUUAUCAUAAUUGCAUUGUAACUGUUUGUGAUCGUGAUACAUUAGCUGACCUUGUUGAGCUAGAAAUGGUAGAUUUUGAUGUUAUAAUGGGUAUGGAUUGGUUAGCUUCUUGUUAUGACAUGGUAGAUUGUCGAACUAAGAUGGUGCAUUUCCAUUUUCCAAAAGAGGCAGUCCUUGAAUGGAAAGGUAAUAUUGGGACACGAAGAGGUAAAUUUAUUUUUUAUCUUAAGGCAAAGAAGAUGAUGUCCAAAGGAUACAUAUGUCAUCUAGUGAGAGUGAAAAAUAUAGAUGCGGAGCCACCAACUCUUCAAUCCAUUCCGGUAGUUAAUGAGUUUCCUGUUGUAGUUCCUGAAGAUCUUCCAGGUUUGCCUCCAGAACGAGAAGUAAAGUUUGGUAUUGAUGUGAUUCCAGAUACUCAACUUAUCUCCAUUCCUCCGUAUAGAAUGGCCCCGGCAGAAUUACGAGAGUUGAAGGAGCAAUUAAAAGACUUAUUAGAAAAAGGAUUCUUAAGGCCUAGUAUGUCCCCAUGCGGAGCACCAGUUUUAUUUGAACGCAAGAAAGAUGGUUGGUUUAUUAAGGAUGUGUAUCGACUACUGGCAGUUGAAUAAGGUAACGAUUAAGAACAAAUAUCCCCUCCCUAGAAUUGAUGGUUUGUUUGAUCAGUUACAAGGUUCUAGGUGUUUUUCAAAGAUCGACUUGAGGUCGGGUUAUCACCAAGUAAGGGUCAAAGACAAAGAUAUUCCCAAGAGAGCUUUUCGAACUCGGUAUGGUCAUUUUGAGUUUUUAGUCAUGUCAUUCGGGCUAACGAAUGCACCAAUAGUUUUUCUGGAUUUGAUGAAUAGGGUAUUCAAGCCAUUUCUAGAUGUAUUCGUGGUAGUAUUCAUAGAUGACAUUUUGGUGUAUUCAAGAUCAGAAGAUGACCAUGCUAAUCACCUACGACAGGUUUUACAAAUUCUUUGUGAUCGUAAGUUGUAUGCAAAGUUCUCUAAAUAUGAGUUCUGGUUGAAAUCUGUGGCAUUGUUAGGUCAUAUUGUAUCCGAUGAAGGAAUAAGGGUUGAUAACCAGAAGAUAGAAGCCGUGAAAAACUGGCCAAGACCUACAACGCCUACGGAGAUCCGUAGUUUUCUUGGAUUGGCAGGUUAUUACAGAAGGUUCGUUGAAGGAUUCUCUUCCAUUGUUUCACCCUUAACAAAGCUAACACACACACAGAAACUAAGUUUCAGUGGAGUGAUGAAUGUGAAAGAAGCUUCUAAGAACUGAAGAAUAAAUUAACUUCUACACCUGUAUUAGUACUUCCAGAAGGCACGGAAGGCUAUGCAGUGUAUUGUGAUGCUUCGAGAGUGGGCUUAGGUUGUGUAUUGAUGUAGCAUGGUAAAGUGAUAACUUAUAGCUCAAGGCAGUUGCAGCCACAUGAUAAAAAUUAUCCAACCCAUGAUCUAGAGCUAGCAACAGUUGUCUCUGCUUUGAAGAUAUGGAGCCACUACUUGUGUGGAGUUCAUGUUGACAUUUACACUGAUCACAAGAGUUUGCAAUAUAUUUUUAAGAAAAAGGACCUAAAUCUGAGGCAGCGAAGAUGGAUGGAGCUAUUAAAAGAUUAUGACAUUAAUAUCUUGUAUCAUCCCGGGAAAGCAAAAUGUAGUAGCUGAUGCGUUAAGUCGUAAAAUAAUGGCAAGCACUUAUGGGCAAUCUGUGGAAAGACAAGGAAUAACUAAGGAUCUAUGUCAACUAGCUAGCUUGGGGGUUCGCCUUCUUGAAUCUCCAGACGAAGGGGUUAUUGUGCAAAAUGCGGCAGAAUCCUCAUUAGUAGUGGAAGUGAAAGAGAAGCAGUACAUUGAUCCUAUUCUAUUAAAGCUUAAGGAGAAUGUACAACAGGGUAUGACAAAGGUAUUUGAGCUUACGCAAGAGGGAGUACUUCGAUGUCAAAACAGAUUGUGUGUGCCUAAUGUAGAUGAAUUAAGAAACAGGAUUAUGAUGGAAGCACAUCAUUCGAGAUAUUCUAUCCAUCCGAGGUCAACUAAAAUGUAUCAUGACUUGAAAGAAAUGUAUUGGUGGGGGACAUAAAGAAGAACAUUGCGGAAUUCGUGGCUCAAUGUCCAAAUUGUCAACAAGUAAAAAUAGAGCACCAAAAGCACAGAGGUUAUAUGCAGUGUAUAGAACUUCCAAUUUGGAAGUGGGACAUGAUCAACAUGGAUUUUGUCACUGGUUUGCCUCGCUCAUUUCAAAAGUUUGACUCCAUACGGGUAAUAGUUGUCAGACUCACCAAAUCAGCACACUUCUUGCUGGUGAAGACUACUUAUACAGCUGAAAAGUAUGCAAGGUUGUAUAUUAAAGAGAUAGUUCGACUACAUGGAGUGCCAAUCUCUAUAAUAUCUGAUAGAGGAGCUGAAUUCACUGCAAAUUUUUGGAAGUCAUUUUAGAAGAGUUUGGGAACACAAGUGAAUUUAAGUAUAGCCUUUCACCCCAAACAGACGGUCAGACAGAGCGUACAUUUCAAACACUUGAGGAUAUACUGCGAGCUUGUGUAUUAGACUUCAAGGGUAGCUGGGACUACUGCUUAUUGAAUUCGCUUAUAACAAUAGCUACCAUUCAAGUAUUAAAAUGGAACCUUAUGAAGCUUUAUAUGGUAGAAAAUGUAGAUCCCCAAUUGGCUGGUUUGAAAUAGGUGAAACUGCUUUAUUUGGGCCAAACCUUGUUCAUCAAGCUAUGGAAAAAGUUAAGGUGAUACAACAGUGGCUAGAAACAGCUCAAAGUCGACAUAAAAUCAUAUGCGGAUGUUAGAAGGAGAGGACUAGAAUUUUCCAUAGGGGAUUGGGUGUUCUUGAAGGUGUCACCGAUGAAAGGGGUAAUGAGGUUUGGUAAAAUGGGAAAGUUGAGUCCACGCUAUAUAGGGCCAUAAAAGGUUAUCCGAAGAAUUGGCCAAGUUGCGUAUGAGUUAGAGUUACCUCAAGGGCUUUCAACCGUUCAUCCGGUGUUUCAUGUAUCAAUGCUUCGAAAAUGCGUAGGUAACCCAUCUCGUAUUACUCAUACUGAAGAUGUACAAGUUACGAGAGAUCUCACUUAUGAAGAAGUACCCAUUGCUAUUCUGGAUCGACAAGUUAGGAAGUUAAGGAAUAAAUAAGUAGCUUCUGUAAAAGUAUUAUGGAGGAACCAGCAAGUAGAAGAAGUUACAUGGGAAGCGGAAAAAGCAAUGAAAUUGAAGUAUCCUCAUAUCUUCCAGACCAAUGAGAAAGAUGAAAAUGUUGAGUUGAGGCGUUAACAAGUAAGUAUAAUUCUAUAUGUUUAAUGUGAGUAAUACUAAUACUUAGGCUUGAACUUGUUUGGGCUGGAUAACCAUGCUAACAUUUGAGGACGAAUGUUUUAAGGGGGGAAGGAUGUAACAGCCCAUAUUAUGCAAUUGCUUGUUCUGUUCUUGUGAUACUUGACAUAGCCUUACAAUAUAGGUGAGGGACCAUGUUUCUUAUAUGAUUAGUGUUGGUUUAAACUAGCUCGGAAGGUGAUGUGAUGCCUUGCACAUUGCAGCAUGUGUACUGCAGGUUAUAACUCCAACGGAAAUAUUUAAACUCGAGACGGGAAGGUGGUAAUUGAGCUUAAAAUUGAAAGUACAGUGGUAAGUUAAAGAAAAAAAGAAUAAUAAUUAGAAAAUGGAAUAAAAUAGGUGAGUUGCUUGCUUGACUUAACUAAGCUAGAAGGUGACAAGUAGGUGCAUCACCUAAUUUGACUUAUUAACUAGUCCAAAGAACCAAGUAGGUGCAUCACCUACUUGAGCUAUAUGGAUCUAGUUAAAAAGGCCAAGGUUUAUAGAUCAGAUUUGGGCCUAUGCUAAUGGACUCACUUGAGGCCCAAACUAUGUUAAAUAAAACAAAAUGAAAUGAAAGCCUAGCAGCCAAAUCUGUCAAGGCACAAUAUUUAAGCCCAAGUGAAAACAAGUAAGUGCAUCACCUAGUUUGACCUUUUGAGCUGCUUGAUGUACGCAUAAGCAGGUGCAUCACCUACUUGACCAAUUAGUGGCUGAAAAUGAAGCUUUCUAGUGGAUAUUCUUAAAGGUGAAGAAAGCUCAAUAUAAAGAUAUAUUGGCUGCUAUUCUCAUUCAUUUUAACACGCAUUAUUGAGGAUUAACUCCAGCUCUUUCUCUCUCUUUUCUCUUAAGUAUUAAACAGCAGCCUUAAAGUUCUUCUAGAGUUCUUAAAGAAACCCUCAUCUCUGCAAGACAAGGUAAGUGAAAACACUUAUGGAUUUAGAUUAAUUCUCCCAUGGAUGAUUAGGAAAACAUGUUAUUCAUUGCUCAAGUAUAGGUAUAAAGGCAUAAUAUUUCCAGAAGCUACUGCUCACUUCCUUGGGUUUAUUUAAGAUACUUUUUCUCUUCUUCUUUGGUUUAAGUGUGAAGGGAAAUUGAAGUUCUAGAGGAAUUCAAGUUAUAAAGAGAAGUUGCAGAAAUUGAGGUAAGGUGACUGCUCCACUUUCUUCCUCCUUAUGGAUGAGUUUGAGUGAGGAAUUAGGGGUGUGCUGUCAUAAAGAACUCAAGGAGCUGUUGAGUUCAAUAAUUGGUUGUAUGAUAAAAGAAUAUUUGAGGCUGUUUUAUGUGUAUUGUUGUUGGUUCAGUUUGGGUAAUCUUGGAAAAGGAUAUAUAAUGCAUGUAUUGGGCAGAGAAGGAGGGUAUGGUGAUACACAUUGUUUUAAGGGCUGUAUGGGCUCAUUAUCCGUCAAAGUUAGCUACUGUUUUACGAGGCACACGGUGUGAUAGCUACUAUUUUAAAUUUAUCAUGACUUAUAUUGUAGAUCAAAACCUGAAAGGGGAGGCUGAAUCGUGAUAGUUGUAUUGAUCAGAGGAUAAGGUAUAUAAGGCUAUUUGAUUCAAUAUUCUUCGACAUGAAAUCUGAUACUUGAGAUUAAUAUCAAUAAGUGAAUUUUCUAAGUUAUAUUCCUAGUAAAGGAAACAUAGUGGCAGCGUAUGAUCUCCAAGUAGCUAACAAUAUUUCCCCAUCUCCUUAGUGUAUAGAAUUACUUCAGAAUAUGUUAAGUACUCUAUACUUGUGUAAUUAUCUUCCUAUGUGCUGGUAUAGAAAUGGUAUUUGCAAAAAGCAAGUUUGGUGAAUCCUUCUCUUAGUCAGUUGAAGUCAAUUGUGUCAUUUAGGCUCACAAGUAAUGCAUUGAUGUUACAUAGCUCCUUAUGUCAUUGUUACUGCCUUGAAGUAUUAUUUUCAUGUCUUCUACUACUGCAAUAGUCCCAACUGUCAAAAAUGAUUAUGACCACCAAAACAACAAUCUCAAAGAUUAAAGAAUCUAAGUAAAGCAGUUUGUAUAAUUAAGAGUGGUAGCUUAGGGGCGAAAGUCUAGCAUGGGCCGAUCCCAAUAGGUAUAAAAGGGUGGCAGCUCAGGGGAGAAAGCCUAGCAUGGGCCGACCCCAAUUGGUAUAAAAGGGUGGCAGCGUGAGCUCCAUAUUGAUUCGGAGCUUUACUGAGUCCUUGGUAGAUUCAUUUUGGUAUUGUAUCGUAGUUAAGGGUAAGGCGGGGUCUAUCCCGACCUACUCUAAGGUUUUCUAUCUUUUAGAGGCUUUGUAGACUUUUAUGUAUAUGCUUCAAUUUCGUCUUAACAAGUUGUGGCCUCAACGGCCAAGUCUUGUAUAUAAGUUUUGGGUCUACUUAUGUUGGUUCGUAUCACUGCAUCCUAUGUGAACUUGUCACAAGAUUUUCAUAGUUAUAUGCAUAGUAGGCACAGGUUACAUGUUGGUUCUCUCGGGCCUUUAGGGCAUCGGGUGCCUGUCCGUCUUAAUGGGAUUUCAGGCGUGACAAAGAGGCAAGUCAUGAAUCCAAGUGAAGUGAGUAGCAGCAAGUUUGGUGUGGCUGUGUUUGGACAAUGCAUCAGCAACCGCAUUGCCCUCUCUGUAUAUGUAACAACACGAAAAGGUGUGAAGCUGGUGAGUGACGUCCUGGAGCCUGAGAAAGGAGUGGUGGAGAUGCCAAGGGGGUGUUAUCCUACCAUCAAUCCAACUGACUAGAAGCUCUGAGUCAACCUCAAGAAUGACCCUUGAAUAACCAUUAUCUAAAUUCCAAGCUAGUCCAAUACAAGCCACUUUAAGCUCACCCUGAUUAUUAGUCAUGACUCUCAGAGAGGGUUUAGGGUUUAGAGUUUAGGNNNNNNNNNNNNNNNNNNNNNNNNNNNNNNNNNNNNNNNNNNNNNNNNNNNUAGGGUUUAGGGUAUAGGGUUUAGGGUUUAUGGUUUAGGUUUUAGGGUUUAGGGUUUUGGGUUUUGGGUUUUGGAUUUAGGGUUUAGAGUUUAGAAAUUAGGGUUUAGGGUUUAGGGUUUAGGGUUAGAGUUUAGGAUUUAGGGUUAUUAGUUUAAGGUUUAAGGUUUAGAGUUUAGGGUUUAUAGUUUAGGGUUUAUGGUUAAGGGUAUAGGGUAAGGGUUUAUGCUUUAGCUUUUAUGGUUUAGGGUUUAGGGUUCAAGGUUUUGGGUUUAGGGUUUAGGGUUUAUGGUUAGGGCUUAGGGUUUUGAGUUUAGGAUUUAGGGUUUAGGGUGUAGGGUUUAGAGUUUAGGAUUUAGGGUUUAGGGUGUAGGGUUUAGAGUUUAGGAUUUAGGGUUUAGGGUUUAUGGUUUAGAGUUUGGAUUUAGGGUUUAAGGUUUAGAGUUUAGCGUUUAGGGUUUAGAGUUUAGGGUUUUUUUUUAAUACCCUUGGAGGGGUAGGGGCUGAGCAACACCCCCAGGCCUUAGCUUUAAUAAAAGGCAAAAAUAUAAAGAGGGGGACAUAAACCUUACCUCCGCUUAAUGGUGGUACAAGAGUUGGUAGCCUACUAAGCAUUCUUAGUAGGUUCUCCAACUCUUCCCUAAACAAAAGUGAAACAUAUCUUCUAUGCACCUAUGUGAGAGGACUCCUCUCGAUACAUGGAAUCUAAGAAAGCAUAAAUGAGGGAGACUCUCCCUUUACAAGUAAAGUAAAAGAAAAGACUCAACUAAGGACUAUCCUAAUAAGGGUGUAGCCAAAGUGUUGAUGAUAGGAUGAUCAUCAAAAGAAGGGUUUGAAAGAGUUCAAGCUCCUUACAAAUGCUUCUUUACUGGAAUUGGCUUAAGGUGGUUCCUUUAUUCUCUUCAACUUCCUUCUUUUGAAAUUUGCCAUACCUGCCAUGUCUUGUUGAAGGUAUGAUGCUGCUGGAUUGGGGAGCUGCUGAGUGUUGAAAUAAACAAGUGGGCUGGUCUGCUGAUGACUGUACUUGGAGAGUACAUCCGCUAUAAAGUUGGCCUCUCGAAGUGUGUGGAUACACUUAAUCUGAGGGAAAUUAGAGGAGAGUCACUGCAUCCUUUGCAUUUGGGAAAAAAUGGACCAAGGAGUUGCUCUUUUCUUCAAAAACCAGUCCACAAGAAGUUGGGAGUCAACUUCCAGAAUAACCUUGUUAUAAUUCAAAUGAGCACACCAAGUUAAGACAAAUAAUGCAGCCUCGACCUCAGCUUGGUUGUUGGUGCCUUCACCUAAAGGGACUGAAAAAGCAAAAAGGAGUUCUCCCAUGUGAUUUCUGAGAACACCACCAGCUCUUAUGCUGCCUGGGUUAUUCAAUGCACUCUCAUCGGUGUUCAAUUUAACCCAUUUUUCUGGUGGUUUAAGCCACUGGACUGCUGUAACCUUGCUGUCAUGGAUGCAAUUCUCCAGCAGUUUGCAAAGUCUGCUCCAGUUCAAUGGCCAAGAAAUGUAUGGAAAAACAGUGUGCAUCAGUUUGAAGGUGUCCAGAAUUACAAGGUGUUUGACCCUUGCAAUAUUUGAUUGCUUACCUCCAUAUUUCUUUGCGCAUCUAUUUUUCCACAAACUCCAACAAAUAAAGAUUGGAGUGGCUUGAAGAAUAAUUUUGUGUGCCUCAUUGUGAUGAGGGAUACUCCACCAUCUCAUGAUCAUGCUUCUUAAUGGCAGAAAAUCAGUAGAUAUGCCCAAGGGGAUAGCAAAAAAUUUCCACACAGUUUUUGCCAAGUUCCCUGAGUUAAAGAUGUGUUCAAUUGUAUCAGCACCUGGAGAAAGACAACAAUAACAAUCACUUGGUUCGAUGCCAAAGCUGGACAGCUUCUCAUUGGUAGGAAGUUUACCCCUUAUUGUUCUCCAUAACAAGAAUGAACAUUUGAAAGGGAUGUUUCGAUUCCAAGUGUAGGAGUUAAUCUUGGUUUUAGCUUUUUUUUCUCGAAUAAUAUUCCAGGCAGAAGAGACAGUAAAGAGGCCAUUCGAGUUGAGAUUCCAAACAGCCUGGUCAGAACUGGUAUGCUGUAAUUGUAUUUGAGUUGACAGAAUUGUAUGCAGCUAGUUUUGAGGAGCAAGCUGGAUCAGUUUGUCAACACUCCACUGCCCAUUUGCCAUAAAAUCAGCGAUAGUUUCAUUGUCGAAUCUGUGGCUAGUAGUAGUGAAUUGCGCUAAUGAUCCUACUCCUAACCAGUUGUCCCACCAAAAUGAACAAGAACCAUUUCUAAUUUUCCAUUGGAUAUGAUUUUCCACCGUAUGUUUGUUCCUCAUAAGCAGCUUCCAGGCUUGAGAUUCUCCCGUAUCCCAUUUUUUGCUUAUGGGAUUUGAUCUUUGGCAAUAUUUCGCUCUUAGAAAAUCCCCCCAAAGAGUUUGCUUGGUUCUAAAGAUCCACCAAUGUUUGAAUUGGAAAGCAUGACAAAUAUCGCUCAUUUGCCUUACUCCAAUUCCCCCUUCAUCUUAUGGAAGGCUGAGAUUCUUCCAUGACAACCAAUGAUAUUUUUUCUUGUCAUCCCUCCAUCCCUAAAAGAAGUCAGCCAAGAUACCUUGAAUCUGUUUGAGUGUAGAAGAUGGGGGGAAAUGGCCGAAAGAAUAUGAAUAGGCAUGGAUUGUAGAACAUGCUUAAUCAAGGUGGCUUUACCCCCAUAACUUAGCAUCUUAGAUUUCCAACCAAUGAUUCUAUUCACUAUCUUGUUGAUGAGAUCAGAAAAAUAAAUAAGUUUGGGCCUUCCUAUAAAGAGUGGACAGCCAAGAUAUGUAAUAGGAGCUUCUUUCUGCUGAAAUCCAGUGUACCUUUCGAUUCUAUCACAAGUAGUUCUGAAGGCAUUAAGAUGGAGUAGGAAGUGACUCUUGGCUUUGUUGAUGAGUUGACCAGAGAUCCUUUCAUAUGUAGCCAAUGUCUGCAUGAUGAGCUUGAGAGAAUCUUUUCUUCCAGAAGUGAAAAUUAUGAUGUCGUCCGCAAAACUCAGAUGGUUAAUCUGAGGUCCUCUCCUUUCCAUAUAGAAUCCAUGAUAUAGAGGAUGUUAGUGGAGUCUGUUUAAUGAUCUAGAUAACACCUCAGCACCUAAAAUAAAUAGAGCUGGGGAUAAUGGAUCACCUUGUUUAAGGCCUCUAGUUGAAUGGAAAAAACCAUAUCUUCUACCAUUAAGAAUCAUAGAGUACCAAUUGUUGGCCAUAAUUCUCCAAAUCAUGUCAAUGAAAAUCUCUUCAAAACCCAUUUUUCUCAAGAUCAAACAAAUAUAUGACCAUGAAACCCUGUCAUAAGCUUUUGCCAUAUCAAGCUUGAUCACGACAUUGCUUCCAAUAGUAGGUUUCUUAAUUUAAUGGAUAAUUUCUUGAGCUAACAUAAUGUUCUCUGAUAUGUUCCUACCCUUGACAAAGCCUAAUUAAUUUGGCAAAAUCAAACUAGGUAAUAUAGGAGCUAAUCUGAUGCAUAAUAGCUUAGAAAUAAUCUUGGUAGUGAAGU